ACAAAGAACUUUAGGGGAUCAAUGAAAAUUGAUCAAUAACGUUUGUCUUAUUGAUCGACCUUAGUACUAUUAUUAGAAAUCAAUUUUAGGUCUUUUGGUCUAUUGAAGGAAAACAGCCUUUUCUGAGAACAUCAACCUGACGCUCUUGAUAGCCACACGUCAUUGUUUGAAAACUGCAUGCGUCUCGUCAAGUCGACCUCCUCGCUUUAAAAAACCUGAAAUAUUUCCACACGUUUGAUUUGUGUUUUUCUUUUUAGUGCAUUAAAUAUCUCAUCGCUGCUACCGCCAUUCUCGUUUGCCUCCAUAUUUGUUGUGCACAACACCUGCUUGCGUCAGCGCCUGAGGAUGCGAUGGUGUAUUCAGGAAACCUCGGAAAAUGGGAUAGAGAAUAGAAACAUGAAAUAAUGGAUCUAACAAAGAGAUUUACCGGUGCAGACAGGCUAGAAGAGACGCACAGUAAAUUAUAUCCGACGCUCCUCAAAUCUACCGGUGCAGUCGCAUCGCAAACAUUUGUAUCCGACCACUGAUAUGAAUCUGUGAAUCUCGACAUCCCGAGUGUGUCAUACACUCACAUCCAUACAGUCACACACUCAGCGGCUCGGCGCCAUCCUCUCAAGAACGUUUAAAGACAGCUCAGAGUUUGCACUUUCCCAGCCGAGCCUCUCUGCGGUCACUGAGCCAGAGGAAAAACAACACAUGCAUAUAAACGGGAAAAUAAGACAUAAAACAGAGAGUGUGAACUGUGGAGGAAUAAAAACACACACCUUUAAAAGGACAGAGACGGCUUUAGUCCACUCACAGAUUCGUCUCCUUAAAUCGUGAAAUGAAGCUCUACACGAGUUUUCUAAUUUAAUUUUCUCGCUGCUCCAACAUUGAUGGAAAUUCUGAGAUUUUCCGAGUGUUUGUUUUCUCAGAGCGAGCCCUCGUCCCCGGGUUGACUCGGCUUUUUCAGGUUCAUGCUUUUCUUCAGCUUUAUCUCCUUUUUUAUGUCUGUAUUCUGUUCCUCUUCAUUACUGUCUCCUGGAGGCCUUAUUUUGACACUCCGAAUACAUCUGAGAGCUGAAGAGGUCAACAAAGAGGCUUUUAAAUUCAAAUUCUCUCGGUACGGGAAACACAAACCGGAGCAACAAGUGGCUCAGAGCUGGACCCCGGCCUGUGAAGUGGGGCGCAGAGUUGAAGGGGAGCCCUGCAGCUCUGCUCCCACACUACAGCUGACCUGUGAAGCCGCACAUGUUCAUUAUGUGUGGUUAGUGUGUGCCGCCGCCGGCAGCAGCAGCUCCUGCUCCUCUGCUGCUGAACGGAGCCGAGCCGCUGCAUGCAUUAGUGCUGUAUUGAUAAAAAGGAUGCUAAUGCCUCAGGGCAGCAUGAUCCGGGCCUCAAUACGAUCCGGGGUCGAUGCAAUCUAUAGGACCAGGGACAACAGGCUUUCCCAUAGGGGAUACUCUGUGUGUGUGUGUGUGAGGUGAACUGAGCCUCGUAAUGUUAUUCAGCAGCUGGUACUAAAGGAUUUCCUGCAGGAACAGAGCCCACUCUAGGAGAGGAUUUAGAGUAUUAGUCACUGUAUGAACCUCAAACUUUUAUCUUUAUGUUAAUCAGGUUCAGACUAACGAAUACGAUCAAUCUGUUAGCCGCCUUUCUUGUGGUAAAUACAGGAGUCUGAUUAUAAACAAGAGAAACAGCAGAGACGACCACAGAGGACGAGCACACGUAGUUCAUGAGACGCAGCUUCCUGUUCACAAUGUGGCAAAAAUGUGAGUUUAGGUGAAAAAAACAGUGGUAGACCAUCAUCUGUAUCCCCCGAAGGACACUACUGCGCAGGGCGGAGUCGCGUGCAAAAUUUUGAGGGUUUCACGUGUCAGAUCGAGUGUUUUUUAUGUGCUUCUAACUCAGUUAGUCCACGCUAUACAAACUCAAAACUUUCAUACUGAACCCCAGACAUUUGAAGGAGUUUUUAAAUUCCCCCGGACAGCCACAAAAAAAGGGGAUUUGUCCGGGUAAAAGAGGACGUACAAUCAAUUAUCACGAUGUAUUAUUUUCCUAUCAGCUGAUAUGGAUCAAUAUCAGGAUAUAAAAAUCUUACAGUGUUUAUUGGUCUCAUGUCUUUUCCAACACAAUAAUCUCCUGCAUCUGUGAGGUCUUUGUGUCUCUUUGGCGUUUUGUCGUAAGGCGUCGCUCUAGAGAAAGCCGACUGAAUGGUCGUCUGUUUCAGGCGCCAUGGGCUCCUCGCUCCUCUCGGGGUUGUAACCUUUGGCGUUGCGCGUGCUCUGCGGCGUGGCGCUGCUUCAGGUGGUGAAAAAGAUUUGAGGUAUUCCCCGACUUUGUGAGAACAUGUACUCGACAUAAUUUACAGUCCACAUUACUCUGCUUCAUGUCCGACCUCCAAAAACCAAAAUACCUCCACACCACCGACGUUUUCCUAACGCCAGUGUUGUGGUUGACAUUGAUGUGGUCAUCUGUUGAGCCUUCAUGGUCAUUUCUGUCGGGGGUAGCACUCAUUUUCUUUGUUUCUCACCAACAGUGCUGUCGGCUUCACCUGUUAAAGUGCUAUGGUUGGGUGGAGCUGCUGUCUGCUACGACGCUGCAGUUGGUUGAUACUUGGUUCUAAUUCAGAACAUGAUUGGUUCAGUCCCGGAGAAACUCCCCUUUUCAUUGGCUGUUCGUAUAGUCUACCAGAAAAUGCCAGAAUGCCAGGGAAAUCAAUUUUAAAUAUAUCGUUAUUGUCUUAUCGCCCAGCCCUGCGGUCACCCUAACUAAACUUCAGAUUGGUGAUUAACUGUCAGAUAAAAAUGAUGAGAGGCAGAAAGAAACGAGAAACUGAGAGGAUGAGACAUCUACCAAAAGGGAAGAAAACAGGCACAAAGCAACGCAACCUAUAAAUGUGAAUAACAAUUAAGAGAGUACAGAUGACAUUAGUCAUAUCAGCUGAUGCGCUGUGACCUGCCUGAACUAACACUCUACUCAGUUUUUUCUUAAGUGAACAUUCACAGUCUUUAAGCGUCGCUGCUUUAGUUUCAUGACUUUGAAAAGGUGCAGAAUCUCCUCAUAAUAUUCUCCCCACAGUGGUCAAUAAAGCCUCAUCUUUUCUUUCUUAAUGGUGCAUUAUGGGUAUUUUAAUCUAAACUGAUGGCGUUUUUUAAGUACAUUGAUUGAGCUGCUGAAAAAAAGACAAAAAAGACCUGUAAUGAUUUAAGAGAAAGAAAAUUGAUCAGUUACAUCCAUAAAAGUGAGAGAGCAUCCUCCAUUACACCAGAUUCACCCUCAUUUACACCAUUAUUCUGAGCGAUCUGUCAACGGCUCUGCCCGAGGACCACGCUGAAGCACGCCGUUCCAGCAGAUAUUCAUAAACCGAAGCUCACUGUAAGUGGACGGACCCGGAUCCUCAAAGAGUCCCGGCUCCGUGUCUCCUUGACUUUAAUCGUAACCACAGUGAGUCUCAUUAAUGCGACAUUAUGCUGAUUUGUAGGUUUUACAUUGGCAGUCUUUCAUUGUGUUUGACCGGAUUCAGCAGCGCGCCUCUAAUUGCGGUCCUCGGGGGAUAAUGAAGCUCUGCUGAACAUGGUAACAGGAUACAACAGUGGAUAAAGACACUUCUACAGCCGUCUCUGUUUUCAGCCCUCUGGUGAUGGUCAUUUAGAAGUCUUUGGACUGUGAGCUUCAUUGUUAUCCAGAGCAGGAGAGACAAUCAAAUAAGUGUCUUCAGAUCUGGACAUCGAACCCCGGAGAUGUUGGCUGAAGAAGAGCAGAGUUGAUCUGCACACCUUUAGAUAGUCCGGUUUAAUCAGACAAAAGGUUUUAUUUCUGAACGAAGAGUUUAAAGAUGAAUGUUGCCGUCUGAGGAGCCAUAAACAAACCUCAACAAAAAAGGACUGAACACAAUUCACCUACUCUCUUCCAGUAGCAAAAUGGUUCAUAUGGUGAUUUUUACUUCAAGGAAAUGAUCAUAAAUGUUCUUCCUUGAGCUGUGGCACCCCGCUGUAGUCCAUAAUGGACUGGCCUGAGGUCUCACUACAAACAAGCGUCUGCUGGAAGAGAGUAGGUGAGUUGUGUUUAGUCUCUUUGCUAAAGAAAUGAGUCAAAGGUAAAAAGAUGUUUGGUGUCUAGUACUAUGUCUGUGACCCUAUAUGUACUAACCUCAGUAGAACAUGGUGUAGUUCCGUUCAGUAACAGAACCUCAUUGAAAAAUUAGCUGAUUUAACUUUACUGUGCUCUUGUUCAGAUAUAUUAACUCGACAGCACAUAAAUCCAUACCUGUUAACAAAAUCAUGAUUUUAUUGAUAAUUCGGCUCAAUAAAAACACCUUUACCUUUUCAUUUUACUACAGUAGAAGUUUAUUGGCCCAGCUUAUAGACUACAGAGGUGGAGAAACGCCCCCGCUUAAGUUUAUGUUUUCUAAGGAGUUAGAACAACUCUGAAUAAAGUACUAUGUCUGUGACCCUAUAUGUCCUGUUGAUGAAGUUAGGUGCUGUUCUGAGCAUUAUUUGUGGCUAUAGAGUGGCGUUUUGGUUGAGGGCGUGGCUCUGUGUAUUGCUAUCCUGCGGUCGUUACUAAAGUUGGUAUAACUAGAGAAGGAAGCGGUCGACAACAUUCGUCUCUGGAGGGGGGUCUAACUCGGUGUUACGGUGUGUUUGACCCUAAAUUAAUUUUAUGUGUAAUAUCCCUUUAAGACCCUCAGUAUUCUGUGAUUAUUGAGCUGCUGCUGUUAAAUUAAACUGCUCUGAGAGUCAGGUCCUUUGUUGUGUAUGAAGAGGUUUUUUUUAUAUCUUCAGGGAGAAAUAAGUGCUGACCGAGUCCCUGAGAUGUUCAGUCGUGUCCUCGGCUUUUCAAAGCGUCCCUCAGCUCAAGUUUAACGCUGACAACCUCUUCAGAUUUGGAUGGACUCUGAGGACCUGAUGGUCAUAAUAAUUUAGUGUUCAUAAACAUGAAAACAAACAGAGAGGCAUGAGGAUCCCUUUGGAGGACUAAACUGAGAGUGGACCAUAAUCCUGGAGGUUAGUGAAAUCCUCACUCCUCAUCUGUGACCCGGUUUCUACCAAAGUGGUCCUGGUGUUGGUUCAGGGUUAAAGCUGUCAGUAAAUACGACUCGUAUUUCCCAGAGAGUUUCUGCAGAGUUUGUAGGUACGAGUAAAAACAUAUUAGCCUUAAAGUUUGUUUGAAAACAUGAUAUCAGCAAAUAUUUAGGCUCCACAGUCAGGAUCCUGAUCAUCUACAUCCACUCAAACAUCACACAUUAAACAUUGAGGUACCGAGCCCCGGGGAAAUCAGUGAGACCUGAAUGAUGUCAGGACUGUUCGUUAAAUUCAGCAAAAAAAACCUCAGAGAAAAGUGACGAAGUCUGCAGAGAGUUAUCGUAGAGACAAGUCUGAAAACAAACGUCUCCCCGUCAGUAUAGGUCAGAAAAUCUGAUUUACAAUCAGAUUAGAUUCUGAUCCGAUUGUUGGAGGUAGUCUACGUUGACUGACAAUACGAUUGAUGCGACAUACAGACGACUGACUGGAUCGUUUUGGUAAAUAGACUAGAUUAUUCGUUCGUACGUAUGGUCACAUAACAACGCCCGUAGGAAACAGGAGACCCAAAGGAAGGGGCAAGCUGACCAUUCAAGGUAGCGAAUUCAAGUACUGUCUUCUUCUCUUGUUCUCCAAAAACGUCUUCAGGACGAGGAACUGAUGAGACCGUAGAGCCGCAGAUAAAAGAACCACAACACGAGAAGUAAAACACGACGUUGAUCCAUUUUCCAGAUGUAAAGAAGAAGCUGAAAACAGAAGUUCAGCUCUUCUUCACUCUCACCUUUGAGGAGUUUUGCAGAUGUCGUACGAGUUUAUCAAUCAAAGAUUUACUCAAUUACACUUAUUUUCACUCAUAUUGAGGAAAACUUUGAAUGUAAACGCAGCGACUGUCAGGUCAGUAUAGAUUAAGAAGUUUUACGUCUUAAAGUAACUUCCAUGCUUUUUUGUGCGUCGACACUCCGACACAUCUUCAGUCAUGACAACAGAAACACUGAAGACUUCUGCAGAAUUAGAGAAACUGUACUUUUAAGUUUUUGGGGGUUUAAUUCUCGCCACAAUCAGCAUCCCUCCAGCCGCUCAUGUAAGGGGUCCCAGAAGGACUUGGAAGGACUGGGAGCCGGUUUUGUGGAGGUCAUGUUGCAGAGAAGUCCUUAGUCCCUGGCCCCAAAGCGUCCCUGAAUCGGCCUGGGUAUAAAAGUGGUAUCUAAGCAUGAUCUAAUACUUCCUCUUCUCUGGUGGUUAAAUGAAAAUGAGACCUUGUUUCGUCUCCCUGGAAAACGCUGGCAGGAGAAAACCUGAUUGGUUUAUUCUCAUUAGCUGCUGCCGGUGGCUGGAGGGCGACAAAGUGGUGGAUAUUUCCAUUUUCCUGCCUCUGAUCAUUAAAUUCCAUCGCCGGCGGAGAUACUCUUCAUCCCCUCGCUGGUAUGCAUUUAAUUUCGUCUUGGUAUGAAGAGUUUUGUAAGCUCUGUUUGUUCAAGGAUGCCAUUAGCCAGCCCCAAAGCUUCUGGCCGGUUUGAUCCGGUUUUACACCUGAGAGCCGCCCGGCGUGAACACAAUCAUCCUCUUCUUGUUGACCACGGCGCAGCGGGGGAGUCUUCCCUUGCUCCAGGCGCCCUGACAGUGGUUAGUGAAAGAGGCAGAGAGGGAGGUUUUCCCUGGUCCACCUACACGGGUCUGUGGGGGGGACUUUACAGCAGGGUUUUACCAAACUGAGGAGGUCUUUGAGUUCCUCUUUUACACGGUACAGUGUUGGUUUUUUAAGAGAGACUUUUAAAGGUUUGGACUUUACGAUGAAGGAGAGAGUCCGUCCACGUGCUGCAGAAUAAUUAUUAUGGAGUAUCUAAAAGUAUAAAGACAUGUAGUUACACUAAAUUUACAUCCUGAGCAAAAUGUUUAAAGCCAAUCAAAUGAAUUCCUCACAAUUUCUGCCUGUAGGAGUAAACCAGAGCGAAUCCUUUACACAGUCACGGGCAAAAAUCUACUGACAUGGAAGAAUCUCUCCCCCGCCCUGAAAAACUCACCUCUCUGUGUGUCGCCGUCUGUCGGCGGAAACAACACAGCAGCGAGCAGCACGCCGCUAAACGAGCGCGAGUCGUCGUUCUUUUAUAAAAGUGGAGAGAGUAAAAAUAAAUAAAGAUGUCAGCUGUAGCGAGGAUUCAGAUACUUUUAAAGACAUCAAAUAUCAUAUUUCUUUAAAUCGACUGAAAUUAAAUCUUCUUACAGGAAAGUUUAAACACGUGUUUUAAUGUAAAGGCGCCAUAAUGACCUGUUUUAUCUCAGUCAACCCAGAGUCAAAGGCGGCAGUUCCACUCCCGACCAACAUGCCAGGCUCACGGCUGAGCUCAACUGAACCGAGAAAAGAACGAAUCAGGUCUCAGAGUGAUUCAGUUCACGUCGUUCACUCAGCAGGUCUUUUGAACGGAUCGUUCAUGAACGACACAAACACUAAAAAGACAGUGAAGCUCCUGAUCAGGUACGUAAACCUCUUAAAGAGACAGAGUCAAACAGACAAAACUCAGAUUAUUUUUUCUGCUCUCAGUUUUAAAGAAAACUCAGAUCUGAUUCGUCAGUGUGAAACAGUCGGACUGAGAAGAAGAGCAGCCUUGAGAAAACUGAGGAGAUAAUAUAUAAUCAGCUGAUGAAGGACGACAGACAAAGACUCUAUUAUCUUUGCUAUUCCUGCGUGUUGUUUCACAGCAGCAGGUCCGUCUUUCGCGGCUCGGCAGCCCUGAAUAAACGAAGCUCGAUGUUUGAAAGACGACCCUUGACCUUUGACAAAGAAAGGAAAACAGAGGCAGAGAGGAGGAAAGGAAGAUAAAUAUAUAUAUUUAUUCCCUGUUUCUUUGAGCUGAGGAGGAAGUCUGGAGUGUUGUCCUCUCUUUGGUCAAAUAUUUUCACAUGACAUCGAACACCCUCCAUUUUCAGGUCAAGAGACUCUCGCCGUAUCGACAUCCACAUUUUCUCCUCUCCGUACCCACGUGACGCUGCGGUCUCACAGCUUACCCACUACUUGUGAUCCCCUUUAAAAAAAAAAAAAACAGCAACAACAGCCUGUGGUCUUUAGAGGAGGUCUUUUGUGAGGCAGUCCUUCAGAGUGUCAUGGCCACUCCACAUCCAAGGAGGAGCUGGAGGAGCUGGAGGAGCUGGAGGAGUGGAAUGCUUUAGUGAUCUCAGGAGACAGAAAAGGACAUCUUUGUUUCAGGUUUCCUUCAUAUCACUGUCACACAAACACUCCGCUUCUAGUUGUUUUGUUCCCAUGGUGACGGGUUACUCAACUCGCUGCCAAAUCACCAUAACAACAAGCUAAAAAAGGGUGUCAGGAAAAGGACUCCUUCGUGCCUAAGUACGGGUUCGUGCGCAAGAUCUUCAUGCCAGCAUAAAAAAAACAGUUUAUUCUUGGAGGUGGAUGAUAAAGAGACGUAAAAGUCUCUGUUUUAUAAUUAACCUCAUUUAAUUUGAUCACAGCAGAGACUCACGUUUGAGACAAACUUCUGACUGAGAAACACUUUUAGACGUCAGAGCAGGGGCGUGUCCAGAGAGGUUUGACGGGUGGCAUGGGCCCCUUGAAAUCUGGCCACCCCAGGUGUCACCACCAAAACCGUACACCGGGGUUGGCGAUUCUCCUCAAGGGAAAAUGAACAACUUUGGUUUUUCUUCAACACACUGAAAAUACUCUGACAGAUGUGUUACGAGCUAAAAUAGUUAGCAGAGUGAUUAAAGUGUCUAGUCGUGGUAUAAUUACUAUAGUGGACCACAUGAAUCCAUCAUAUUUCAAGCUACUGGGUCUAAGUUGUUCCUCAAAACCAGGCAGCAAAGAUGUGAGGGGCAGAGUGUUAGCUUUGCCGCUUAUUAGCCAACCGCCAAACAUGUUUUUGUUUCAAGUACAAGAAAAUACAAAGUUGUGUUUUUCUGUGUUUAUCUCAGAUUGGCAGGAAAAGGAUAGAAGCAUUGCAUUGUGGGAGAGUUUAAUUCAAAUUAUACUAAAGCGUCUUUAACUAAAUUCAUCAUACAGAGUCGGUGAAUCUCAGUGUCUUCUCUGUGAACUACGACAGGAUGAACCCUAACCCGUGUUUGACGACAUGUUGACCCGUUCGAUUUCUUACACGUCAGCUGCCAAACCCUGAAGUUUUGUUUAUUCUAUUUCAUGUUUUAUGUGCUGAAAUUUACAGUCUACCCGUCUUAAAAACAGUUUAAAUGCGGCUGGAGAGAAAAAUGACUCCGGGUCAGUUAGCAGCACAGAGUAGUGUUGUGUCAUUCGCGAACGAUUCGUUAAAAAGAACCGAAUCUAUUGAGUGAACGUACUGAACCGAAUCAGUUCCUCUAGUGAUUCGUUCGUUUCUCACAAGUGAGAAACAGCAUUGCCAGGCCAGCAGUCAGCGAACGAGGAACCACAUGAACCGACCCCUGAAUCACUCGGUGAACGAAUCACACAUUGAACUACACUCUCUGGAAUCAUUUUUAUCGCACAAAACUAAAUACAGCUAAACUUCCACCACAACAACUUCGUACAACAGGACACAGCAUGUAACAAGUAGUAGAUUAAACCGGCAGCAUCCUGUCAUUGCAGCGGUUUGUGAGGGAACGGUUCAUGUUCUGUUUAAAUUCUUCUAAACGUUCAGUGAACGAAUCACUCAAAAGGACAGUACACUUCAAACAUCAUGACCUUUGCCAAAGCAACGCAGACAAACUCUCUCGUCUCCCAGAAACUAUGAUCUGAACUGAAUCCUGAGACGUUCAGCUCUGUAUCAGUUCAGGAGGUCGGAGUCGCAGGCUCCUCCCGCCGAGCUCUGAAUGAUUCGGUGAUUCAGUGAACGAAUCUUUUGGAUGAAUCUUUUUAGUGAACUGAUUGUAGUGAUUCAUUAAAUCCAAAAGAACUACCAUGCCCAUCAUGAGCACAGAGGUCUGUUUUCAGCAGACCUAACACGGCUGUUAGCAACAGUAUCAUCGAGGAGAAUCAGUCAAAGUCUGGAUAAACAUGAGAAGUAAUAAGUUUAUUUUACUUAUUAACUCUGACUGUACUUCUGUGUUGUUGUUGAUACCCGUGUCUGGGCUGACCCAGCUGAACAGUAUGAAAUCACUCCUGCUUGAAUCUUUGCGUGGACUUGUCGAUAUUUCUCGGUGGUUUUGAGCCGUUUGAAGAUGUAUCCUCAUGAGAUCCUGUCUGAAGGCCAACUUCAAACCUUGAGGAUUGAUUGAUCUGUAUUCAACAGAGACGGAGGUGAAAUAUCAACGAUUGGUUCUUAAAGACCUAGACCCAAACAAACAGAACUUAAACCCGUGCGGUUCUUCAGUGGACUCAUCUUUCCUCCAUAAAACUACUCUGUUAUCUGAGAACCGAGGUUUCUCAGACACAGACUAAGACUUGUCGGAGUUAAUCUGAAGAUCUGAUUUGAAUGAGACGCGGCGAAGCGUGGUGAUUUUGGUUAUAAUCUCCACGCUGUUCGGCUUCACCUAAACGGAGCCGGACAGACGGACGGAGGGAUGCUGCCGUUUCUCUUCCCUCUUUUGAGAAUAGUAAAGGAGCGUUCAGCGAAGACAAAGCUGAUUUAUUAUGUGCAUAAUAUCACACACUCUCCAAAUCUGUGAACAGUUUGGAGUUCAUUUGUUGUGACACUCUGAAUGAGCCCAACAAAGAUGUAUUCAGGAGGCCAGCUUUUCACUGUAGUGUUAAAUAUACCUCAGCAAAAUGUGCUGUAAACAAUAUUUGCAUAGCCUGGAGCUCAGGGGGGGAGAGCGAUGCGGAAAAACACCCAGAGUGUCGUUAUUUUCUUAAUGGAGAUCAGGUUUGAGAUUUUCACCCACAAAUGAGACAAAUUUAGCCAAACAGUUUCUAAGUGAGGCGCUGACACGGGUCCCAUCAUUCAUGAAUCAACAAAGAGGACGGAUAAUGAAUUCAGAACAGACAACAUUAUCACUUUGCACUAAUGACAACAGCAGACCCAUCUCCACCAUUAACAAUGAGUGGCACGACCUCUGACUUCCUCUGUUUUCCAUCGGCUGGUCUGAAAACACGAUGAUGUGCAGGUAGAUUGAUAUCAUUACGUUCUUAUUAAUAAUGUAGAUUAACGGCUGUGUGAGAAAUCUUAUUAUAGACUCCACAGCUGCAGGGAAAUACGCACAGAUGAGAUCUGUGUCCAUGUUUGUAAACUUUGGAAAGAUGGAAAUUUUCACUGUUUUAAUUUUACAUAAACAUAUCUGCAAAACGAAACUAGCGUUUAAUCCUGCUGACCCGACACUAACCCGAUAUUUACAUCUUUGUGGGCUCGGCUGUAAAACUGAGUUAACGAUAAAACAAAGCGACUUAAAAACAGGUGGAAGGUAAAGAACGACGUCUCACUGCCUCUGCGAUAAUCCACCAUGUCCUUAUUUCUAGAGAGGUAACAAGGUAACGCUAAAAUGUGAUAUUUUUAACAUAUUUCAACAACACCAUGAUAAUAUUGAUAACCAUGAUAAUUUUGGUCACAAUAAUCGUGAUGUGAAAUUUUCAGGUCUUAUUUCUCUCCUCAGAUUAAACCAACCCUGGACAAACGGAGGUUCGAUAAUACUCGACACAGUCUUUGUUUUUCUCUCUUUUUUUUUAUCCCCUUUUUAUUGUUUUAACUAAUCCAACAGUUUUGGCUCGUAUCUCACAGUUUUCUGCCAAAUACAAGUUUCAGCCAAAGACGAUUAGAUUAACUUUGCAGUAAUUGGACCACUGUUACUUCUUCUCUUAUGUUCAGGCUUUAAACCUGAAGAAAUACACCUGGAGCCUCCGUCUAUACUCUGCAUGUUUCUUACAGAUAAGGACCAAAUAUUUCAGUAUCUGUGAACUACUAACAGCUCAAACUAUAACCUGUAUAAAACACAAAAAAACAACAUCAUGAAAGUUGUUUAAGUGUUCAGAACUUUGCCAUUAAACACCAAUCUGUCAGUGGUACAGACUCACUGACGCAAACAGGUGAAUAACAACCACUGGGGGGUGAAUUUUCAGCAGCUUUGCUCCACCUUAAAGUCAUGGUUGACGAUUGUAGAGAUUAGUAAUUAUUAUCAACCUCGUUUCCAUGGUGAUCAUGGUCCUUUAGUGCGAUCUCCACAAAGUGAAGAGAAACAAGAACGGAAAAAAUCUGUUCACCUUAUCAGGUGCAGGGCUGCAAAAAUAUUGACCAAUGGGAGCCAUCCACCUCCUAUUGAUCAAUCUCCUGCUCCGCCUCUCCAUCCGAUCACCUUAUGGGCGGAGUCAAAGAGGAAAUGUGACCAAGCGAGGAAUCUAACGUGAAUAACCAUCGGGUCAUCCUUGGAGCGGUGGAGAAAACAGACGCUGAGACAGCAGAGUUUUAGUUGAACAGGUCAUUUUUAUCUCCUUUUAUCGUGGCUCAUGUUACAUAAAUAACUCUGAUUAGUCUCUGACAUGUCAACCCGGUAGCUGUCCAGGCAGCUGCAGACGGCGCUCGCCAACAGAGCUGGCGUUUACUGCCGCUAGUUACUAACAAUCCGACAUGGUGAAUCCUGUUUGAAGCUAGCGUAGGAUCUUCUGACAGAGGGGGUGUGUCCUGGGGAGGGGGAUACAGGUUCAGGGGGCGGAGUUAUUGUGGGGGGUGGGACGCUUUUUUAAAAUCUGCGGCUCAGAUGGUCGACCAGGACUUGAAGUAAUGGAAACCCUGUAAAAGCUGCUGCCUUAAUAAAGAGGUGAUCUGCAGUAAUGACUUAUUUCACGCUGAUUUGAUCGGGGUAAACUCUGCUGUGAGGUCGUGUAAAUGUUUCAGAGAGUACAAACGCAUUAUCAUCUCAUUAAGACGGAUCUUUAAUUAACUUAGAGGAGGUAAUCUGAAGCAGGGCGGACAAACAAAAGAGCGUCCUCUUCUCCAACCUCUCUGUAACUUCAGGUUUGUUGUUUCUUUCCUCUAACGGGGCGUAUGAACGGAAACAAUCCAGAGUCGCCCACUGGGAGAGAUUUCCUGAUCUUUCUUCAGUGAUUUGGCGGAUAAAAGGAAUCAAGCAGCGGGAUCAAAUAUUCACGAACACGUGGAGGCUCAUGAUUUAUUGACUGAGAGCAAAGAACAAUAGAGUCUGUGGUUUCUGAUGCUAAAAGCAUUUAGAGUGAAUGGAAGUGUUUUUACGCUCUGAAAAACCAGAGAGGAAACAGUGACGGUGGAGCUCUCCCUCCAGAGCCAUUUUGCUGCUACGCUACAGAGGCUAAGGUUAACGCUCUGCUCCAGAGGCUAAUGGAACGCACUGGAGCUCGCCACUUACCGUAGAAGCACGGGCGCUAACGCUCACUGUCCGGGGAGAUAUUAUGGCUUUGGGUUUGAAAAAUGAAUCGAGGGUUAGAGGACUGUUUGUUUAGAGAUCAAAGAGGCGAGACCAAAGAACAGAGGGAUGACGGAGAGCGCUGCCAACAUGGACGCCGCUAAAGUGGAGGUCGUGAACAUUAGAUUGAGCUUUGUUCUCUAAUGGAGAAGUCUAGGGUUGGUUUUAGACCGUUUAAUGGAAUAAAGACUCACCUGAGCGGCUCAGCGGGAGGCUGUAGAGACACUAAUGGUUACUUUACUGGGGGGAGGGGGGCUCUCAGUGAGGGGAACUCCUGCUGUGUGUGUGGAUCUGACUGUUUGGUUUCCACGAGAGGAGGACUUACCUUCUAAUCCAGGCAAACACACACAUGCUGGUAUAGACUGAUCAGUUUAUAAAGUCUAUAUGCUGAAGGGAGAGACAUGAAAUUAAUGUGAAGACGGGUUGAACUGGUCUCCAUCUCUCUGACAUGUCUUCAUGACUUCAUGCAGCAUCUUUAGAUUAUUUCAGGUCAGUGUUCACCUUCUGCAAACCUCCGUCCACCAUUGAGAGAAACACGUUAACUGAGCCGACGCCCACUUUUUCCAACCACGCCAGGACCAAAGAGAACCACCGCUAAAUACUGGAUCUAUUUUAGGCUGGGCAAUAAAACGAUAACAAUAUUUAUCGAGAAUUAAAUUUCCCUCAAUAUCUGUAUGAAACAUGAUCAAUAUCCUUUUCAAUAGUCGUCAUUCUGACAUGUUUUGGUUGACUAUAUGAACAGCCAAUGAAAAGGGGAGUUUCUCCGGGUCUGAACCAAUCAUGUUCUGAAUUAGAACCAAGUAUCAACCAACUGCAUCAUAGCAGACAGCAGCUCCACCCAACCAUAGCACUUUAACAGGUGAAGCCGACAGCACUGUUGGUGAGAAACAAAGAAAAUGAGUGCUACCCCCGACAGAAAUGACCAUGAAGGCUCAACAGAUGACCACAUCAAUGUCAACCACAACACUGGCGUUAGGAAAACGUCGGUGGUGUGGAGGUAUUUUGGUUUUUGGAGGUCGGACAUGAAGCAGAGUAAUGUGGACUGUAAAUUAUGUCGAGUACAUGGAGUAAGGAGCCCAUCAGCUGAAACAGACGACCAUUCAGUCGGCUUUCUCUAGAGCAACGCCUUACGACAAACCGCCAAAGAGACACAAAGACCUCACAGAUGCAGGAGAUUAUUGUGUUGGAAAAGACAUGAGACCAAGAAACACUGUUAGAUUUUGAUAUCCUGAUAUGAAAAAAACAUGUUGUGAUAAACUUUUUCCCAUAUCACCCAGCCCUUCAUCUAUUCUACCCAUGUCCUUUUCUAAGGGGACGUUUGCAGCAGCUGCAUGUGGAAGUGUCUCUGAAAGUGACUCAGCAUGAGGAGAACACUGAUUGUUGUUCUUGUUGUCUUUUUCUUGUUUUUACUGAGAAUAAAUGAUAGAUAUCAAAUAAAAACAACAACAUAAUCUGAUCCAGGAGAACUCCUCGCAGUGGAAGCUGCUAUCUUUAUUUGUCAGGGUUGGGCUGAAAUCUUCAAACUUAAACUAAACACCUGUCUGAUCUAUUAGUUUGGUAAUUUGAUGCUUUACCCUCGAUUAUCGUCAUUCUGCCGUGUCCAGACUCCCAUGUUUCCCACCAUCAUGUCUGAAUGGAGACCUUUGACUGGUCUGUAGACAUAGACCUGCAGGAGAAUAUUUGGAGGUGGGUUUGUCAGUCUGAUGUUUGACUCGUUAGAAAUGAAGGAGAACAAACUCAGACAGAACUCAGGAACUGCACUGUCAUUGUGUCUGGCAGACUCUUACGUUGGAUCCAGCCCAAAAUAAAACCACAUAUUUAUUUAGAAACUCCUUAAAGCUGAUUGAUUCCAACACAAAACAAGAUUUGUUUCAGCACAGCACAAAAAAAAACACAUCAGAGUCUGGAUCUGAACUUCUCUAUGGAUUAGAAUGUCUCUACCCAAGUUGACAGCACCCUGCCAAAAACCAAUAGAUCAUCAUCGACGGCAAAGAUAAACUAAAAGAAAUAAUGUGGAGGCUGCCGCCGCCAUCGCUGCCGCUCAGAGAAAUGUGUGGGGAAAGGUUGCCAGUGUUCGCUUUCUCUCCCAGAUAUGAAGCCUCUCCUCUCUGCUGCUGAAUAAACAGAGCUCGCUGUUUUGUCAGAAGGAUUACUCGGGCUGCAGAGGGCUCUAUCACAACUCCCCCCUGUCAUGGUGAUGAAACAUGUGAAUGGAAGAUUAGUGGUGGCACUGUUGCUUGUCUGCAGACAUCUAAGAGAGCUGGCAGAAGAAAUGAAGAGAAACAAGAUGGACGGACACUCUGAGCAUCCCAGAGAGGCCAGAGCUCGGUCUACUGGACCAAACGUCUGCAUGCAGAUGUGGAUCAUAGAGAUGUAAGAGAGUGUGUGUGCAGAGUACAAGAGUUUCUGGAUGAUUUACACCUGAUUCAUUACUUCAACUAGAGUGGAGGAAUCUGCUCAGGUGUAAGGAGAGCCGCUCGAACGUCACACUCGUGUACGUCAUCCUCACAAUCGUACAGAGAGGAAGCAUCCAACUCAUUUAGCAGUUUAUUCCAGAUGAAGGAUUUAAAGUCUGAGUUAGCCGCCCUCAAACUUUCAGGUCCACCACCAUCGUCUCAUCAUAAAACCAGGACUGGUCCACAGGUAGGUUUUGGGGGUCUUUUUAGAGGCCUUUUGCAUGUUCUUGGAUGUCACGAAAAGGCCGUCACUGCCUAUCGUAGCUGAUCGUAACCAUUCAAGUUAACGUGUCAAUUUACACCGACUUCUUUCUGUUCCUCUGCGGAUCGCCGGACUCCUCAGCUGAUCACAAGAGUUCUAUUUUUUCUGGACGCCGGAGCAUGGCGGAUAAAUUCAGCACAGAUUAACCCGUGCUGGAAAGGAAGUCGGGCACAGACACAAAAUAAAACAUCCGGCUUCUUUUCAAAAUAAAACACUCCGUGUUUCAGGAGGAUCGUAUUUCACACCAUGCAAACGGGCGGAGACGAACAAGUGAAAGGUUUUUAGACGUCAUUUCACCCCGAUGACACCAUGGAUGAGGAGAUGCUGAUUCUAGAAGUCUAGAAGUAGAUUUCCUCCUCUGGAAGGACACAAUCUACUGCUUAUAUGUCUAUGUGUCUGUCUUUAGCAAGACGACUGGUUAUCGUACGAUUGCACGUGAACCAGCAGGUUCUUGUGAGUUCUCAUGAUUCCCGCUGUCCGUAAUCCACCACAAAGUUUGCCUCACAAACGGAUACGGUAGGAAUUGGCGUACGGCAAAAAUGAAAUAGUGGAAAUCACAGUAACACCAUUUACAGAUGUUUCCGAGUGUUAAAGUACAGCUGUCUGACUGCUGCAGAGUCAGGUCCAGAUCCAGAUCAGUCAGGAUUAUAAAGAUCCUCUAAUCUCAUCCUGUAAAUCACUUAGUAAGAAAAUAAGUGUUAGGCUGAGUGCCGUUUCCUCAGUGUGAAACUGCACUCUGGUCCACCAUCAAUCAGAACCUGUCUGUUGAACCCUGAGGCCUCAAAUCUAUCUCCUCAGCCCGGCCUGACACACUGAAUACAGUUGCAGAUGUAUAGGAAGUGUUCAGAGAAACAGGUACUGAAGAGCCAGCAGCAGCUGAGUGGACUGAGAUGGAGAUCAGAAGGUUUGCGGUGCUGAACGCUCACCGUGAAGCCCUGAAGGCAAAACUGGAUCCAGUCAGUCACCAUCCAGUCCGCUUAAAGCGAGCUGUCACAGUCCUGAGCCGUUCUCCAGAACUGUUUAAGGAGCUGCUGUUUAUAAGGCUGACAGGGGGCUCAUUUAUAAAGGCAGAGGUGGUGGGCCGAGCCGCCGGGAGACUUUAGAGCGCACGGAUAAGUCGAGUCCAGGUGAAAACCACGUUUAGGCCAGAACAGCAUCAGAAAACUGUUAGAUUAAGUCUCUCUGUGGGAACAUAUAAACCCUCAUUUUAAUGGACUGUUGUACCUUCAAAUUAAAGCCUUUUACUAAUUUUUACAAUUUUAACAAAUUCUUCUUUGAACCUCUGAGGACUAUCACACUGAUAUCUGGUGUUUUUAUGUCUAUAAAUGCUCCAAAUCACUCCAAGAACCACCAGGACAAACGUUUUCUUCAAACUACUAUCAGCAGUUUUUGGCUGGCCGAGAAAAAGACGGUAUUUAUGAAGAAAAUGAAAUGAAAAAAAUGAUUACACUUUUUUAUUUAGUUCAGAAAAAGUUAAGAACAAAUGUCCUCGACUAAACCAGUCAUUACGUUCCCACGCACAGUUUAAUCGGACUAAGCUCAUAAUUCGCUUUUUUUCACCGAAUCAGACUUCUCUCCUUGCAGCUGGCUCACGCCACGACAGUUUCACCUUUUUCUCGUCUUAUCUCCGUCUGUCGAAGUUUUGUUCCUAGAAAAAUAUCCACACUGUUCAACCUCCAGACAUCUGGACUCUGGAACAAUUUCAGACCGCUUGGACCAGAUUUAGUCGGACUGAGCCGAACAAUCGAGACACUAAUGUUAGAGAAGUCCGAUUUAGAGCGACUUUUUAUGUGUAUUUUGUUUAUUUAGCACAGAUUAAAAACAGUGCAAGGAGGGAACGAAGCCGAUGGGCUUAUACAGAGUUCCACUCCCGUCAGGUCAGAGAAAACAUAAGGUGCGGACAACUAAGUACACAGACUGGAACACAGACAAAUCAGCAAACAGUGAUAAAGAAAAUAAAGUAUUUAUAAAAAGGAAAGAGAUAUGAUCAUAACAGAUAAUGAUGUAUUUAAGACAUGAUCAGAUGAGAUUUUAAUGAUAUUUUAAAGGAGUUAAAGGAUGAUAUUGAUUUUAGAAAUGCAUCAAGAUUAUUCCACAAUUUCGGACCUCUAAAAGUGAUGUUAGACUGAUGACUAGAAGUUCUACAUGAAGGUAACUGAAGAUGGCCAUUUUGUCGUGUUGAGUACGAAUGAAGGUCGGAUGAAAAGGUAAAAAAGUUUCGGAAAGUUUCAGGAAGGGCUUGUUUGUUGUUGAUGAAUUUGUGGACAUAUAAACAAGAGUGAAGGACAUUGAGUUUGUCAAUUGGUAAGAUGGAGUAUUUAGAAAAGAGAGGAGCCGAAGGUUCGUGUUUGCUGGAUCGUGAUAUCAUUCUUAUGAAUCUUUUCUGGAUUAUUAAUAUUUUCUUGAGGUAAGUUGGAUACGUUGCACACCAUACAAUGUUACAAUAGUUCAUGUACGGGAAUAGAAAGCUGUAGUACAUCAGUCACUUCAGUCAGUCUGAGGUGUUUCUGUGUAUCAGAGAAGUCCACAUAAAUCCAUUUUUGAACAUGUAAACACACUGUCAGAUCAAUCAAAACAAAGAGGGUGGUUCGAUGGUACUCCACUGUUCCUCUCACCCACACCCCCACAGUCGGGUUAAACCCUGGUCUUCAGAUACAGCCUUCACCAGCGCUCACCUCGCCCACGUUCAGCGGCUCCCGGCUCAUUGUUUCGCUGUUACUUCAUCAUGUGGACUGAUUUUGAUUGCGUAUGCUAAUGAGACUGCACACUUAGCCGUCGACAUGAAUCAAUUCAUUACACAGAAGAAUUAUGCAUCGUGUAGUUUCAGCCCACACAGUCAAAGACGGAUGUGAACUAAUAGCUGCUGAUGUAUAAACGAGGAGUUGGAAACUCUGGCAGGUGAAUCAGGAAACACCCGACAGUCAUUUCCCUCCUCAUGACGCCCACUUUAACAUGUUUGGUGUUCUGGUUGUUUUAGCGUCUCUGAUAUUAUUGUCCCCAGCACAAAGGAAGUGGACAUGUUAAUUGACAUUCAGAGACAUGGACUGGAUACAGAGGAAGUUCCCCUCCAGUGUGGCUGACACAGUCCUGAUAUAAUUAGAAACUCCAUAACACCAUUAUCAUUCACUCUGCUGUCAAAACGAGCAAACUCCAUUAUUGUAUUCCUGCUGUCAGAGCCGAGUUUACUCGCCUGUUUGGCAAACUCUUUUGUCCACUUUGAAACAAUUAAUAGAUUUUCUCUCACAGAUCAAUUAGCCCACUCUGGAUACACUCACACACACACAGACGCACACACACACUCACAUGCAUCCGUCUGAGACUCUGCUGCAGGGCCAGUGAGUAAUACUUUGCACAAGGUCAGAGUGCUGUUGCCUUAGCACUUUGCAAACAAUAAUUCUGCUCCUGUUAUACAAAAAACUGCUUUGCAAGCUUAAUCUUCUUGGUCAUGGAAAGAUUAGCCUCUGCUGUUUCCCCUGCUCAUGAUAAUGAAAACUGUAACACCCGGCGAGCCGGCAGCACUGAAUACAAGAUGAGGACGCACCGUCAGACUAACUGACCCAAAUUUGUCCCUUUACAAACCAAUCUUCAGGCAAGUAAAUAAAAUCCGUCUCUACACUGAUAUCUUUUGUUACAGUUAAAUCAAGCCUAUUUCUCAGCUUGCUAUAUGGCAAUUUUCACAUCACCUCUUCUGCAUAAAUAUGUCGUUUCUUUUGUUCGAAGAGAAGAGUGCAGCCAAACUGAAUCUGCAGUGAGCCUUUUACUGUGAUUUAUACCCGCUCUACUGCUGUGUGGAUUAAAAUGUCGCCAAGAUGCAACUUCUGCACAGAACCAAAUUCAUUAUCUCUUUUUAUAACGAAGGGAACUAAAUCUUUCAGAGUCUCCGAUGCGGCCCGUAUAUCCAGAACUUCUGCUUCUACCUCCUUUUUGGUUUUGUUUGAAUGGUCCAGAUUUGAUGGAGUUCUGGCCCUGAGAAGAAUGGUCCGAUUGUUCAGAAACUUUAUGUUAAUCAGUCAGGAUUUCCAACACCCCCCCCUCCUAAUCCAUUUUCCAUUAAUGCUGAUUUCCUAGAGCAAUACAGGAAAUUACACCAGAUCCUGCUUCAGGGGUGAUCAAACCCGGAUCACCCAUAAAGCUGAUGGAGUAAAGGGCACAAUACGGUUCAUGGUCAAGGUCACUAUAUAACGAGUAGAUCCAAACCAGAGAUCUGAUUGGACAAGGAACUUCCCCAUAUAUGGGUAUCGUUCUUUUUCAUUGCAGUACACCGUCUUUGAAGGGUCUGGAUACCAUGAAGGCCAAUGACUCUGUGAGAGACUGUGUGAGCUAACCCCCAAUUUUCACCACAUCCAGAAUGGCAACGAUUUUCCUGUCUGCCAAUUCCUACCGGAUCCGUUUGUGAGGUGAAUUUCAUGGCAGAUUACAGACAGCAGGAAUCACAAGAACUCACAAGAACCCGCAGAUUCACGUUCAAUCGUGUGAUAACGAGUUGUCUCUCUAAAGACAGACACAUAGACAUAUAAGCAGUAGAUUGUGUCCUUCCAGAGGAGGAAAUCUACUUCUAGACUUCUAGAAUCAGCAUCUCCUCAUCCAUGGUGUCAUCGGGGUGAAAUGACGUCUAAAAACCUUUCACUUGUUCGUCUCCGCCCGUUUGCAUGGUGUGAAAUACGAUCCUCCUGAAACACGGAGUGUUUUAUUUUGAAAAGAAGCCGGAUGUUUUAUUUUGUGUCUGUGCCCGACUUCCUUUCCAGCACGGGUUAAUCUGUGCUGAAUUUAUCCGCCAUGCUCCGGCGUCCAGAAAAAAUAGAACUCUUGUGAUCAGCUGAGGAGUCCGGCGAUCCGCAGAGGAACGGAAAGAAGUCGGUGUAAAUUGACACGUUAACUUGAACGGUUACGAUCAGCUACGAUCGGCGGAUACGACCUUUUAGGAGACGAUCAGGAUGAAGGUGGAGAUUAGGGGUAACAGCUCAACAAUUAUCUCGUCUUGCAAACAUCUGAAAAACUAACUCUGGAUGUGAUCUUUUAAGGUUGCAGUGCUUCAAAAUCAGACAUGACUCUGUGGGGGGAAUCACCGCAUGGACACAAAAAUCCCUCCCACAAGACUUUGUGGCUAUAUCCAUACAUGCAGGUUAGAACUGAUCCAGAAGGGGGAGUGGAAACGUGUCCUGUAGUCUUACAAACCAAGAUCUGACACACUCAGUUAUAGAGACACGGGCACCCUGGCGGUCCAGACCAAAACCCCAAACUGGACUGGGUCAGUUUAUCAAUAACUACAAGUCUCUUCUCAUAAUAAUCCAGAUUUGAACAUGUAUCUGUAUGUGGAGGUUCAAUCUUGACACAAGGUUCAAAGGGGUCUAAUAAAGGUCAUGUUUUCUUAAGUCCUGCCUGUAAACCAAUGAGAGGCUCUGACAGAAACAGGAAGUGUGUCAGCUGCGCUCUUGGAUCCACACGGUCUGUAUCACCAUUAAUUCAAAUGGAGAUGUACACGAGCCUCACUCCUCACAUCCAUUGUGGUAAUAAUUGCAUUUUUCCUGGCACUCACCUCCACUCCUCGUCUUAAUUACAGCCCUCCACCUUUCACAGUCAAACAGCUGUUGCAUUGUCUCAGGAGGGGGGAGGAGGCCCGUUAUUUGUCCCUGUCUUUCAGAACUUUAUCUCCAUAUUGAUUCUUUUGUGGGAGAGGAAACUGGCUUCAGCUGAGAGGAGGAGAGGGAGGGAGAAUAGAGCCAUCAGUAAUCUCCACCAUGAGGGAGCAGUAUCGAUGGUUCUCCAGGUGGGACAGGUACAGACAGUACAGCUGGAGGUGCUUGCUCCAGUUUGUACUCGUGUCGACAUGACGGAGGCGCUCUCUGCUGCUACAGCGAGCAGAUGGGAACAAAAGAGGUAGCUGUUUGUUAGAAUUACAGAGGAGCUCUCGCUGAUAAUCUCCCCGGAUAAAAGAAGUUGGAGGCAGGGCUGGAGGAAGACGAGGCCGCAUCAAUAAUUUAUGAACGUGGCAUCAAACAGCCACAGAACUUAAUUCAAGUUUGGAGUGUUUGUGAGCGUUUGCAGGAAGCUGCGGCGGUGGCGGCGUUCUGCUGUGACCUUAUAUCACAUCCAAAUUCCAGGUUUAAUCAGAGCAAGAGUAAGUUUUAAAAGUGAGUAAUCAGACAUUUGGAGAUGAUUUACGUCACGAUCAGCCGCUCUGAUCACUUUUAUAAAAACGUCUGUUACUCUGUGAAGCUGCAGCAGGAUCGGUCUAACCUAAGCCAAUGAAAAGGGAAGUUGCUCCAGGUCCACUUUGCACUGAACCAAUCAUGUUCUGAAUUAGAAUCAAGUAUCAAACAAAUGCAUCAUAGCAGACAGCAGCUCCACCCAACCAUAGCACUUUAACAGGUGAAGCCGACAGCACUGUUGGUGAGAAACAAAGAAAAUGAGUGCUACCCCCGACAGAAAUGACCAUGAAGGCUCAACAGAUGACCACAUCAAUGUCAACCACAACACUGGCGUUAGGAAAACGUCGGUGGUGUGGAGGUAUUUUGGUUUUUGGAGGUCGGACAUGAAGCAGAGUAAUGUGGACUGUAAAUUAUGAGAGACACAAAGACCUCACAGAUGCAGGAGAUUAUUGUGUUGGAAAAGACAUGCGACCAAUAAACACUGUUACAUUUCAUUUUUAACACUGCCCAGCCCUACCUCUGAGGCAUGUGUGCUAAACAGCGCAUGCUGUGAGGUUGGAGUAUAAAGGCGUGUAUUAUCCACCUAUCAGGUAGGAUACACUAAAGCAGAGCCACACACAGCACUGAACCAAACCAUGUCUCCACAACAGACUCUUUUUUUUUUCACUGUCAAACUGGGUGCAAAAGUACAGACUUAUGUCAUAAGCUCUUGUGGGGACUGCCAAUUACUUUUGUGACUAACCCCCCAAGUGUAAUCCUGACACAGCCUAAUAUGGAGAAGUGGCUGCAGCAGGAUGAACACUCUCCGAACAGGAGGAGGAAUACAUUAGCAGCAGGUGGACUUGAGGCGAGCUUCAAUUUGGCUAAUCACAUCAGCUCCACUCAUAUCCUUCAAAAAGCAGCAGACGGUUGCCAAGCAGGCCAGGAAAAGACCCCCGGUUCCUUCUCGAGGAGGCGUCGAGUCCCAGAACGCCGUUUAAAGACAUCCUGGUGCUGAGAAUGUGGAAACAUUCUCAUACUCAGAAUCCUAAAGAUCCUGUCACAUCAUAUCGCAUCACAUCCUGUCACAUGCUACUGUAUCAUAUUGUAUCAUAUCAUAUCCUGUUUUAUCAUAUCGUAUCAUAUUGUUUUGUAUAUCAUAUAUUAUUGUAUCGUGUCCCAUGUUGCAUUGUGUUAUCAUAUAAUAUUGUGUAUUGUCAUAUCAUACCAUAUCAUAACAUAUCAUAUCACAUCCUGUCUUAUCAUAUUCUGUUUUAUCCUAAUGUGUCAUAUUGUUUUGUAUAUCAUACAUUAAUGUAUCAUGUCCUACUGUCCCAUGUGGCAUUGUGUCGUAUGUCAUAUAUCAUAUCUUGUCUUAUCAUUUUGUAUCUGAUCAUAUCCUGUUUUAUCAUAUCCGGUCAUAUUGUUUUGUAUCAUUCUAUUAUACAAUAUCAUGUCAUACUGUCCCAUGUGGCAUUACGUCGUAUGUUGUAUCAUAUCACAUCAUGUUGUAUCAUAUAGCAUUGAUACAAUACUGCGUGUCGUACUCUAUCAUGUUGUUCUAUGUUGUAUAGUACUGUAUUGUAUCAUAUCAUAUCCUGUUUUAUCAUAUCAGAUCGUAUUGUUUUGUAUAUCAUACAUUAUUGUAUCGUGUCCCAUGUGGCAUUACGUCGUAUGUUGUAUCAUAUCACAUCAUGUUGUAUCAUAUAGCAUUGAUACAAUACUGCGUGUCGUACUCUAUCAUGUUGUUCUAUGUUGUAUAGUACUGUAUUGUAUCAUAUCACAUUGCAUCAUACUGUAUUUAACUAUACCCCACUAUACUCUAUCAUUUCACUUUUAUAUUAUAUUGUUUCUUGUUGUAUUUAAUUUGUUCUUGCUUCAGUUCAUCUCCUACUGUUCAUCUGUUGAUUUUAGUAUUGUUUCUGUUCAGUAUUGUGUCAUAUUGCAUCAUUAUAUCAUAUAUUUUUGACACUAAACCACAUAAUCUCAUAAAUCAUAAAUAAGGCUGUCCUCUUGGUGCUGAUGGUGUACUCACUUGUUAAAGCUAAAUUACUAGAACCAAAGUUGAAUGACCUCCAGCUGGACCUCAGUUUCACGUUUCAUGUUUGUUCGUUAACAUUUGGCACUUGUGACAUUUUAGGAUUUUAAUUGUUUUGAUUGGAGGAUUUUUGAACUGAUGAUAUCAGAGAAUAACUCAACCAGAGAAAAGUCAUUUUCAUUUUUCAGCGCCUACUGGAGUCUGUUUUUUUAUUAUUUCAGUUUGUUUUAAGAGAAACAAACCUGAAUCUGUUUUGGCAGAAACCUCCACUCAGUAGUUUGUUAACUUCCACCUGUGAUCUCGUCUCUCUCAGCAGGUGUUUGUUUUACGGGGUUGAAAUGAAAACAUAUAGGAUUAGUUGUCACUGUUGCUCUGAGUGAGUCAAACCCUGUUUGAGCAGAGAGUGAAGUUUCUCCUGUCAGCUCUUUUUCCCAAUAACACGGGCUGACAGCUCUCUUCAAAGGUCUAUUUUUAAGAAAGAAUAUAUUAUUCUGAUUAUUCAGGAACAGCAGAGCGGUUGGAGAGAUCUUCGAUGAAUUGUAAAACAGACCCGUCUCCUCAAACAGAGGCGAAAAUUGCUCUGCAGCACCCCAACUGCAUAAUUAAUACCUCAGCUCCACUUGGACCGAGCCGGAUCUUCUGAUGCCACAGGACUAAUUAUUUUGGGAUGUGUGUCGAGACGAGACCAAAGUUUGGCUCCGUGCACUCGCACACACGUUUCCUACGCCAUUAAGAGGUACGACAAUGACGAGGAGGUCGAAAGUUUCCGCCCAUGUGUUUGAUCAACACGCUGCGACCCUCUGAAACCAGCUCAGGCCUCUUGAGUUUGAGUCCCGCUCAUUUGGUUCAGCUUCUCUCUGAGUAGAAAUCACCAUUUUUCAAGUCUGCAGUAUUUUCAAAAGCACCAACUGCUAUCAUCAUCUUCAUCUUCAUCAUCUCAGCCAGAGCUCUUCUGUGGAGCAGAAGGGGAGACAUCCAAGGACCAGAUCAAAACCUCUCUGAAAGAUCUGCCACUCCAUCUGUCUGAGAGGAAGACGUGGUCACGGUUUAUUCUGCCUCGCAGCUCGUCUGUCAAGACGCAGUCCAACACUUGAGGAGAGGCAAGGACACGGGAAGGAGGAGGAAGUCAGCUCAGGACGCUCUGCACGGACUGGUGGGUUAGAUCCUGAAUCCAAAAGACCACUUAAGUCUUCUGAGGUGAGACUUCUACAGUUAAAAAUCCUCUUUGGUGGAUUUUCUUGUAUUUUGACUCUCUCUGUUCUGUUCUCGUCUUUUUUGUCUCAGUGAAUUAAAGCUCUCUCCACUCUCGCACAGACGUGUUUUUCUCUCUUCUUCGAAUAUAAAAACCCCGGUCCAUAUCAGAGGGACUCAGAAACAGGCCGGACUUUUGAAUAAUGAUAAUGUGGAGUCAGUCCGUCAGGUUCAAACACCACAGAGGAACAGGGAAACAGCUGGAAAGGAAGGGGGCGUGGCCUAAAUACUGCAAUCAUGUUUACAAUCUCUGACAAGAUGGCCGCCAAAGGAAAGUCGGAAUUCAAAGUUUGGAAAAGUCGACUUUAACAUCAGAUAAUGUGGACUAAAGUGUGUGAAGAUCAUUGAUAGACGCUCACUGUCAAUCAAACUAUCUCAAACAGGCUGGAAAAUACGAGCAGGAUCCUGAAAGCACAUCAGCUGUUCGAGCUCUGGAGACUAAAUAAUAAUAAUUACAAUAAUGACAAUGAUAAUAACAACAACAACAACAACAACAACAACAAUAAUAUUAAUAAUAUUAAUAAUAACAAUAAUGACGACGACGAUAGUAAAAUAAUAGUGAUGAUAAUAAUAAUUACAAUGACAACAACAACGAUGAUGAUAUUAAUAAUAAUAAUUAUAUUAACAACAUCAAUAAUAAUAAUAAUAAUGAUAAUAAAAAAUAAUCAAAUUAAUCAUAAUUUUAUUAUUAAUAAUAAAAACAACAAUAAAAAUGAGGAUAUUGGGGAAAUGAAGAAUUAUGAUAAUAAUAAAAAAAAAUAAUAAUAACAAUAAUAAUAAUAAUAAUCACACGCUGCAGAUCAAUUAUUCAUGCAUGCAGUGUAAAGGGGGUCCUGGUUCUGGUCCUGGUUCUGGUUCUGGUUUUAGCAGAAAAUUAGAUUUACCUGACAUGUUUUUACAAACACGAGUCUCGCUCUAUUCGAUGACUCAUUCGCACAGACUCGUGCUUCCUCUAUGUAGAGUCACACAGACGCAACCGAUGGCGUCCCACUUCGACGAUUACCAUUCAGAUGGCUGCUCCUCAUUAACAUUACAGACGAGUACACCACCCCUCUUCUACCCACCCCCCCAGACUGUGUGUGUGUGUGUGUGUGUGUGUGUGUGUGUGUGUGUGUGUGUGUGUGUGCCAAAUCAUUGAGUUUCCUGUUAAUUAACUGUCGGCCUGUUGCCACCUCUUCUUGUUUUUGUUUUUGUUUUUGUUUUUUUUCAUGUUUCCAAACAGCUUGUUGGUGUGAGAACUGAUGAUGCAGUUUUAGUCUUUAAAUGUAGAACUUUACAUUUACUAAAAUUUGGGGAUUUAAGGAGUGUAUGAAUGAAAAGGCUAAGAGGAAUUAAAGUUAAUGCUGUGGAGGCUUCAGUGAUUUCAGUAUCACCGACUCGAAUCUUUCCUCAGGCUGCUGCCAUUCCAGUACAGUCACUGUGGAAUUAGAAAUGAUCAAGGUGUUCACUUAAAUGUCCUCAUUAAUCAAAUCUCAUCUAAAGUGAAGAAGAAAUAAGCCUGAAUAUCUCUCUGAAGCGCUGUUGGAGUUUGGCUGCUGUUGUGUCGCCAAAGAAAGGUUUUAAUCAGGAGUUGGCAGCUCGCAGGUUUACACCGGCUUCAAGAAUCUGUGACCGAGAGGGUAAGUGCUCCUGUCUUUGACUCCCAAUGGAGCCCAUUUUUUUUAAUCAUCUCUUUUUGGCCGUCUGCACGUUCAGCCGGAUUGUUUACUUUUGAAACAGGAGGCGAGAAACUCCGUUUAAUAAAACAAUGGCCGCAAGCUUUGGCUCUGGACGGACACGCCGAGUUCUGGAUUUAACAGUUACUGGGAAAAAAGACAAAAACUAGACAGGUUUAUUUAUGAAGCACCGCUCAGACUCGGAGACAUUCAAAGAGCUCUGCAGACGAAGAUAUAAACCCAGAGUGAAAGACAUUAUAGUAACUUUAAAUAUAAAUAAAGACGCCAACAUACAAAAAAAAGAUCAGAUAUGUAACACGGAUGAUUAAACAUGUUCACCAGGUUCAAACAGACUUUAUCAGACCUGUCACCAAUAUCACCAAUAUCACAAAUAUACUCCGACAGCCUCAAACUGUUUAUUAAACAGAAGACUGAGGCGUUCACUGUGAGGCCGGCUUUAGGCACGGGUAUUUAGGUGGUCCCCUGGAGCUCUGGGAUCUCCAACCCUGGGACACCCCGGAUGGUUCCCUGUCUCAGCUGCAGACCACUCACUUAUGUGAUGUUAGACAACUGAGAGCGAGGAGGAGGAGGCAGGUACAGGUGUGACUCUCACCUCCACUACCGUACACAGACAGACAGAUAACAGUGUACCACUCUGUAUGAACUGGAUCUGGUGUUAAGUGUUAAUAUUUGAAUGUCUUUAAAUGAAGAAAUAACCAGCAAAUUUAAUAUAUAUGAUAAUUCUACAAUAAUAUGACACUAAUAUUGAUAAUAGACUACAGUUAGCUGAUGGUAAAAUCAAACUUCCUAUUUUUAAAACUGAAUGGUUGAUGUUGCUUCAGUCCUUUAAUCAGCUGAUAUAGAAAUCACUCUGUUAGUCUGAGUUUACUGGUUAUGAUGGGAAAUUCAGCGUAUUGGGAUUGACAGGUCGUUUCCAUAGCAACAUGUCAAACAGAAUAGAGGGGUAACGAUGUAAAUCUAACCUGUCGUCCAAAGAGGAUUCUCAUGGAUUUUGUUUUAUUAAAUAUUUAAGAGGAUUUAUUUUCCAAGUUCACCCUGAAAACAUCAUUUUUGUUUUUUUUCUUUCUAUCUGCUUCACCCUCUAAAACUUCCUCUUUACAUUCGCUCCCUCGUUCAGCGUUUGUUAUUAUUUUUGAAGGGGCUGUUCGAGGCUCUUGUGCUCCGUGCUCCUCUGAACAAAUGUCACACCGACAGAGAGGACCAGAGAUCCUCCUGGAAGAGCUGCAGGGGGGGAGAGUCUGCUGAUAACAGAGGAGAAACACCAUCCAGACCAAACAGCACAGACGUGUUUGUUUCUGUUAGUGUUCCUGCUGAAUCAGAGUUUUUAAAGCUGAGUUUAUAUUUAGGGUUAUAUUUGGAUAAAAAGGAGAUGGUGUUAGUUCAUGCAGUUGUUGCUCCUUCACAGCAUCAAAGUUGAUUUACUGUUAAAACAAUAACCAAACAUUUAUCAACCUCCUCAUAUUCAAUCUGUUUCUUCUCCUCACUCAUUAUUACGACUGUUAUCAUCAAUAGUAUUAUUGAUUAUAAGUUUUAUGAACUGUCUAAACUUGUCGAACACAUUCAGUUAGCUGAAGUACAUCUCUAAGAACUUUAACUUUCCAUGUUCAUGCAGAGAAAAUCUGAAUUAUAAAAAUAUGUUGAGGAUUAGUGUAACAGACAGUAUAUGUAAAACAAGAGUCGCCAUGACGACAGGUUAAUAUGUUUGUCAAAGUUGUCUUUGUUUUUGUUUUUUCAUGGUAAAUUUAGUUAACAUUGAAGUUGAUGUCAUUUUUACUUUACACUUUACUGAGGAAAACGAUUUAGUGUUUGUCCUUAUAAAUAAGUUUAAUUGUUACAUGAAUGACCGAUGAACGUGGUCUGAACCAUUGCAGCUAUUUUGGUUUGAAGAGGGCGACUACAAUUUUAAUGUUGUUCAACUUCAGUUCUUUUAAUACGUUGUUUUGUUGCUGAUUUCUUUAUGAAUAAGUUUUUACUGUCAUGUGUUUUACCUUUGUAGUUUUCACUUAUAAGAUUAAACAGUUGUGGUUUGAGUCAGUUUGGACCGUUAAUAACCAACAGUUACAAAUACAGAGAUUAUUGACGGCGUAGAUUAGGAUAUUUCAGAUUAAAGGUGUAAUAAUCAUGACUGUGUGUUAAAGGGGUCAGUGAUAGAGGGAGACGAGGUUCAGGAUAUUUAACCUUUAUAAUGUCAAAUAUCACUCUUUUAAAUGAAGGAAAUCAACAUAUUUUUCAAAAACAUCUGCAGAACUGGGAAUAAAAACUGGCAUAUUGAUUAUAGGAGUAUCUUUGUCCUAAAUCUAAACUCUUUUAAUUAUCUCAUAAGAGUAAAAAAAUGCUCUUUAAUGUGAUUUAAACAUAUUUUACCUUUACUGUCACACAUCUUUGCUCCUUUUGUUAAAACAUGACGGAUUAAUCCUUUAAUUAUUCUGAACGUUUGAUUUAAUUCACGACCAUUCCUUUCAUAACAACACCGCCGCUCAGAGGUAUGUGCAUUAAUGAGCCUCCGCCCGCUCCCUACUGCACACGCUCAGUAAACACGAGUAAUAUCACGGUGUGUGUGUGUGUCCCGGUGACAGAGCAGGAGCCUCAUUAUCCACAGUCCCAGUCAGGAAUGGCCUGUUGGAUAUUAAUGCUAAAAUAUGAAAAUUGAGUGUACUGCCCUCUGGACAACCAAUAUGCACCUAAAAAAUUGAAACAUGACUGUGUUUGGCUUUCACACUUAAAAGGCUUUGCAUACAUAUGCAAGUCUCUUUGUUGGUACCUUGCGGCAGUCCGCCACUUUAAUUUAGGAUUCUGGGGAGCUCUGCUAGAGAGAGACAUCAGACUCAGAAUAAUAUUCCACAUGAAGAGAGAUCUCCCAUGAUUCUUUAUUGAUCGAAUUAGGCAGCAGGACCCCCCCACCCCCAAAGACAGGAGCAUCAGAGAGAAGGAGCAGGACUGAUUAAGAUCACUGCAGGAGAUAGUUCGUUUUUAAAUAAAAGAAAUCAUGUUUGGAAUAUUUUCGCAGCAGAUUACCGUCAUCUUUGAUUUAGCAAUAAAAGACUUUUUUUUCUCUCAAAUGGGCCCCGAGACAAUUUUCUUUCCACUACAGCGCUCCAGCUAUAAAAGAAUAACACCUGAUGGCAAUCUACAGUAUAACCCUGCUAUGGAUCGUGAAUAUGAUUAUAGCCGUGAUUCAGACGAUAAAACUGUGCCAAAGCACCACAAUAGUCGCGUUAAACAAGGGUUAGGAUUGCUGGUUUUAUGCAGCUCUCAGACGCCUGUGCUUUUAUGUAAACACACACUUUGUUUCUGCGGUGAAGUUUUCAGAAAGAUCUCAGCUCCUGAAAAUCGUUCGUUUCAUGUCGGUGACACUUAUCACUGCACAUUAUCUUAGCAAACUAAUAACGCUGUGUUUCCUUUCAAUACAAAAUAAAGACUCACGUACGGUGGAGCCCAAAGCACACAACUUCAUUUGUGAAAAACAAAUUUAACGACCCACAGACGCGCGUACGUGUGUGUGUUAGCUUUAUUGGUUCGACUCCAGGGUGUGCGGAUCCACGUGCAGCCACUUCACAUGCUCACACACAGCUCCGGAAAAGCCAACACUCUGCUUCCACAAGACAAGAUGGACUCAGAUGUUUCACUGUGUGUUGCCAAGGACAACAACAACCUGGGAGAAACUGUCAGAAAAGUGCCAGAGAACUCGCAGGGAGCCACCAAACACACUGAUUCAGAAUGCUGCUGCUCGAGUCCUCACUAAGACCAAGAAAGUAGAUCAUAUCACCCCAGUUCUCAGAUCUUUACACUGGCUUCCCGUCUGUCAAAGAAUUGAUUUUAAGAUACUAUUGCUGGUUUAUAAAGCACUGAAUGGAUCAGGACCAAAAUACAUUUCUGAUAUGCUGAUACGUUACGAACCAUCCAGACCGCUCAGAUCAUCAGGAGCAGGUCUGCUCUCUGUCCCCAGAGUCAGAACUAAACGUGGAGAAGCAGCUUUUAGUUUUUAUGCUCCUCAUAUCUGGAACAAACUCCCUGAAAACUGUAGGUCUGCUGAAACUCUCAGCUCUUUUAAAUCACAGCUGAAAACGCAUAUGUUUGCUGUGGCCUAUCAUUAAAUCAAACCUGAGGCCUUUAAUCAACAUCUUCAUCAUCUGCCUGUCUUGAUCUUUUUUUUUUCUAUCUCUCCAAUCUAACCUUUGUUUUCUUUUAUCUCCAAUCUUAUUUUAGCUUUGAAUGUAACUUUUAAUCUGUUAAAUGUCUUUUACGCUGUUUUUACUUUUUAAAUUGUGUUGAAUGUUUUGCCUGCUUGUUUCAUGUAAAGCACCUUGAAUUGCCCUGCUGCUGAAAUGUGCUAUACAAAUAAACUUGACUUGACUUGACUUGACUUGUACCUGCGCUGUGAACUGAUGGGGAGGAGAACAAGGCCAGUCUUGGCUGCUCCCAUCCUUCCUUCCUCUCCCUGGAAAUGUUUGCAUGGAGAAAACAAACAAAGACGAAGCUUCUGGUUCACUCAGACUCAAUGAGUGGAGCUCCCUCUCCUCCGCUGCUCUGGGACUGUGUGACAGCCUGAACCAGCUCUCAAAUACGGAGGAGUUUUACUCAACACAGUCAGAACUCAGAGGUUCUGUGUGCUGGUCCGACACGGGUUGUUAUUGAGUUUAGGAAACCACAUCCUGAGUUCAAUCAAAGAUGAGAUUAAAGGAGAAGCAGGCAGGAAUCUGUGGAAGACACAUCUUUUUUUGUGGUGUUUGAUGAUUAAAAUUAUUUUCUUAUGUAAAUAAUAGAUAGUAGAUAACUUUUAGAGAUAUUAUGUGAGACAACAGACAAUUGAAUUUCCCUUUGGGGAUUAAUAAAGUUCUUAUCUUAUCUUAAAUCUGCCCAAUUUUAGCCCGUUUGAGACUAAUCGGUAAUCGGCAAAAACUCGCCGAUUGUCGCCGAUAUUUUCAGAAAUAAAAUGCUGAGAAUAAGAUUCAGUUUCACUUUGAAAAUGUUCCUCCAUUUGAAAAGUUCCCUGACUUAUCCUGUAGAUGGCGCUACAGCGACCUCAUGCCGAUCUUCAUCCACUAACUACCUCACAGCACAUGUUCCUCGCUGUGCUGGUCUCGGUCAUGCCCAGUUAACGCUGAAGCACCAUGGGAUAUGAAACUAACGUUAGAGUUAGCCACCUGCUGUUAGCCUUGCUACACUGUUAGCCGUGUCAGUAACGGUAGAAUAAACAACAGUACACAUUAGUGAUCGAGAUACUUCUCUGACUGAGGCAGCUGCAUGUCUCCAGAUGAGACCGGACCGGACAUGAGGAACGGGAGUUAAGACGCAGAAGCACCGAUCGGCGGGCGGGGGGCCUGCUCUUUGGCGUGAAGAGCAGUAGCCUACAGAAUAUAAAGUGUUCCUCAUUCUUUAUGAUGUACGUGAGUUAGCUUUAUUUAUAUUUAUUUAUAUAGAGUAUUAAUUUUAGAAGAUCAACAUUAACGAUGGGGGACGCUUCGGGAUCGAACCAUCAGGUCCAGCAGGUACUUCUUUCCAAGACUGUUUUUUCACGGAUUAAAAAGGUUCAAUUUCAGACAAAAACCAGGAGUCCUUGAAUAUCACUCUGUACACUGACGCAGAGUCUCUUCUUUGAGACGAAACAUUAUCCUUUCACCACACGAACUACAUCCUGACAAAGAGUCCCGAGUCCAGCCCUAAAGUGUCUGGUUCUAAUGUUCUGAGUCGUCUGUGGACUCCCGAAGAGACAUGCCGGUGCAGUUGUUGAGGUUUCAGCAGCAGCAGCAGCUUCUCCGUGUGCUGACAGCCGAACACCUGACAGACUGUCUGAGAGAGCAGAGGGGGAAAUCUCUGAGGGGACACUGAGAGAUACCGACCCCCACACACUCUACAGCAGCUUCAUUCAAGUCUGCUAAUGUCACACAUGAACUCUGUGUCUAACCAGUCAGGACUGAGAGACUCUCCAGAUAACCUGAGUCUGGUGUCAGUCUGAGACUUUCACAGGAGGCUCAUGAUAGAAUAAUAAUGAUCCGGACCCUCCUCAGACUAGUCUACCAUCAGUGGACCCUGUCUGGGUCAUUAUCAGUCUGACUGUACUGGAGCAGAGACCAGAGACCGGUUAAUUUCAGAUGGUUUAUGAAGUAGGUUAUUAUAAAUGCUGAGAGUCUAAAAGGAAACACAGAGAGAGGUCUGACCUCAGGUUUAAGCCGACUCACAUGGGAUUAGUACAACCCUCCAGUCAGAGUUAAUAACUGGGGAGGAAGUCUGUGUUUUUAAUCCUGUACAAAUUAACCAUGCCUGUAAUUCUUGAAGUCAAAGGGCGCAGAGGUCCUCUGGUCAGAUUCAUCAGGCCUGUUUUAUAAGGAGGGUCACCAGAGAACUCCCACAGGGCUCCUCGGUUCCUCCCUCUCUCCUACAGCCCAGUGUCAUGGCUCUUUGCUCUGGACAGAUGCUCUGGCAGACACACGCCAUUAAACCUCUUUCUCCUGUAUCACCGAGGACGGUGGGAUGAAGGUCAGAGAAGAACGGAGGCGUCACGACGGAAGAGAAGAGACGGAUUCAAGGGAAGUUUGUGUCAAAGUGGAGAAAAUAUGAGUGAUCUAAAAUAAUCCUGAUUAGUCCUGAGAUUCACGAACUGCACACGUUCAUCGAUGAAUAAAUGAACGAGUUAUUCUCUUAAUUAGAGACGCUGAGAAGAAGACAGGUGGACGCUCUACUCUUUAAAACUGAGGAUGCAGCAUCUAUGGUUUCUAAUUCUUCGUUUAAAGGACAAGUGGACUUUAUUGAGUUGUCCUUUCUAUGUGGUGAUUUCCACUUCAGAGUCCAGCCUGUCUUGCUGAAAUGUGAACGUCUGUUCAAAGACAGUCGUUUCUGAAGGGGAUUUAUAGCUCAUGCAGUGAUUUCCACUACAGAGUCAUGUCUGUUUUUAGUGCAUGUUUCCUUUGUGCAACUAAAAUUAGAUGAGUGUGAAUUGUAAAAUGUAUUUAAGGUCACAUGUGCGCAUUAAAAAAUACCCACACAUAUUUUUUUUCCUGUAAAUACAGCGGUGAAGUUAGUUUAAGGUUGGAUAUAUUCUCCUGUAAAUACGGCGGUGAAGUUAGUUUAAGGUUGGAUAUAUUCUCCUGUAAAUAUGGCGGUGAAGUUAGUUUUAGGUUGGAUAUAUUUUCCUGUAAAUACGGCGGUGAAGUUAGUUUCAGGUUGGAUAUAUUUUCCUGUAAAUACGGCGGUGAAGUUAGUUUUAGGUUGGAUAUAUUUUCCUGUAAAUACGGCGGUGAAGUUAGUUUUAGGUUGGAUAUAUUCUCCUGUAAAUACGGCGGUGAAGUUAGUUUUAGGUUGGAUAUAUUUUCCUGUAAAUACGGCGGUGAAGUUAGUUUUAGGUUGGAUAUAUUUCCCUGUAAAUACGGCGGUGAAGUUAGUUUCAGGUUGGAUAUAUUUUCCUGUAAAUACGGCGGUGAAGUUAGUUUUAGGUUGGAUAUAUUUUCCUGUAAAUACGGCGGUGAAGUGAGUUUUAGGUUGGAUAUAUUUUCCUGUAAAUACGGCGGUGAAGUUAGUUUCAGGUUGGAUAUAUUUUCCUGUAAAUACGGUGGUGAAGUUAGUUUCAGGUUGGAUAUAUUUUCCUGUAAAUACGACGGUGAAGUUAGUUUUAGGUUGGAUAUAUUUUCCUGUAAAUACGGCGGUGAAGUUAGUUUUAGGUUGGAUAUAUUUUCCUGUAAAUACGGCGGUGAAGUUAGUUUUAGGUUGGAUAUAUUUUCCUGUAAAUACAGCGGUGAAGUUAGUUUCAUGUUGGAUAUAUUUUCCUGUAAAUACGGCGGUGAAGUUAGUUUCAGGUUGGAUAUAUUUUCCUGUAAAUACGGCGGUGAAGUUAGUUUCAGGUUGGAUAUAUUUUCCUGUAAAUACGGCGGUGAAGUUAGUUUCAGGUUGGAUAUAUUUUCCUGUAAAUACGGCGGUGAAGUUAGUUUUAGGUUGGAUAUCUGACGGACAUUCUCUGAGGAUCUACCGGUGUCUUCUCACUCUCCAUAACCGGGAAUAACAACAGCAGCGCGGUUAAAUCUACUCGACACCCUCACUGUCAAAGUCGGUGUUGAAUAAGGGACCGUCAAUAAAUUACCGGUUGAUGUUCUCAGAAAAGGCUGUUUUCCUUCAAUAGCUUCACUGUCAUGUGACCAAAAGACCUGAAAUUGAUUUCUAAUAAUAGUACUAAGGUUGAUCAAUAAGACAAACAUUAUUUGAUCAAUUUUCAUUGUUCCCCUAAAGUCCUUUGUGCUCCUUGUGAAAAAAGUCAGUGUCAAGCUCUGCAACAUUACACAACUUUUCAGUGUUUUCUGGACCCUCCUCCUGUUUCAACAGUUGAUAUUUAAUCUUUGUACUAUUAAUAAAAGAUUUUAAAACCGUCAAACACGUUAGAAACAUUUUAACACAUCACAGAGUCGAGGUUUUACCAUAACCGCAGUAUCAGUCUGGUUGGUUUAAAUAAUAAGAAUAUUAUUAUUAUUGGUUGGUUUUCUGCCUCACAUAAUUCCUCAUAAAUAUACAAACAGCCCGUCUCCUCUUCUUUCAGGUGUUUUAAUUAGUCACGCUGACUUUGUGUUCUCUGGUUGUCUUGUUUUUGUGUAUUAGCAGGACCGUUGUCGGAUAUCUGGGGUCUUUUGUUCCUUUUAUUAGCCUCCGAUGUGUCUGUUGUGUCAUCUGGAUUGUUUUUUUUUCUCUUUAUUCUUUUCUUUUGAGAUUUAAAACUCCAAAUGAAGUCGUUUCUUUUGUUCUCCUACAUUUUCCAUAUUUUUCUGUCACGCUUGCUUUUUAUCGUUUCUCUGCACUUAUAAAUAACUGCAGAUUAUACAAACGCUGAAAAACAAGUGACACAUUCCCAUUUUUAAUUUGUUUGAUCUUCCACUGGUGGCAGACAGAAAUCCUGCCCAGAAUCCUUCGACUCCUGCCAGUUUAUUUUGCAUAUUUAUGGAUAAGACUCCAGCUUCCUCUAACGGCUGAAAAACUGCAGUUUGGAUAGAAAUGUGUACUUUGGAUGUUGGAAGUCUUGGAUGUGGGAGUGAGCGGCCCUGCUCUGGUUCUUGCUAAUAUGUUGUCUUCUAACUCUCCCUUUGUGCCGGCUGCCAAACUGCACUGUUGCAUCUUUGAAAAGACCAAAGCGUUUGGAGGACGGCCAAAUCUGAGGCUGGCAUCACAGUUUAAAGUGAGCAAAAUGAAGGAUAACGAAACCCCAACGGCAAGUUAAGUGUUUGGGAAGUCUGAUCAAACAUGGGAGAAUCUCAACAUUUGAUUAAUAUCUUUUACUUCUUCUUCAAAACAAAUGGACUUAUACUUUACAGAGAAAUGAUGAAACGAAGCUGAAAAUCCCUGAGAGGUUAAAAAACGAUGAACUGAUGCAGGAGGAAAUAAAAUCGUGUUCUUCUUUAAAAAACUCACAUAUAAAGACAUUUAACGGAGAGCAGGGAAAGGAUCCAAAUGCACAUGAGUUACUCUAAUUUCUUAUCCCUGACGUGUUUUUCUUUCACAGAGAAAUGUUUGCAGUCUGCAUAUUUUACACCUGCGUCUACACAUCGGUCCCAUUAGUCACCACCUGCAGAGAUCAGCUAACAGUCUUUGACAGCUCUUAAACGCUCUUAAUUCUGGAAGGCAACGGCACAUUAAGAUGGUUGAUGAUAACCUACUUUUCUCCUCCAAACGAAGCCGCGUUUACAGCGUGACUGAAGUUACUACCUCAUGUAGGAAGUCACUCCUACUCUCCUAUAAAUCAGAGCGAUAAAAGAUGUCAGAGAUAGAUACGAUAUGAUACGUGACAGAAUGAGAUAUAUAACGCUACAUGAUACACUAUGAUAGAAAACCUUCUGAUAACAUUAUACCUAUAACUAUCGUAUACCCAAUGAUUUCUUACAGUGCUAUACAAUGUGGUCAUACAUGCUUCAGUUCACAAGUGAUGGGACAGAAUUUGAUAUCAAACACUUACACUCAGCUGCCUUCACUCAUUAAGAAGUGAAACAAUCAAAGUGACACAAACAGAAUAAGAACUACAACAUCAGCACAAUCAUAAUUACUAUCAUUAUUAUUUUAAAACUCAUGAUUAUUAUUUUUAGCAUAAGUUUAUUUAAUUUUUAGCAUAAUUAGUUUUAUUUUUCAUUAUUUUUAAUGAUUAUUAUUUUUAGCACAUUAUUAUUUCAUUUUGUAUUAAGCACAAUUAUUAUAUUUCAUAUUAUUACUAUAAUUAUUAUCAUUAUUAUUGUAAUAUUUUAGCACAAUUAUUAUUAUUAUAUCAUUGUUGUUGUUGUUGUUGUUACCGUAUUAUAAUUGUUAUAUUUUCAGCACAAUCACUAUUAUUUUUAAUGGUUAUUAUUACUAUUAUUUUUAUUUAAUAUUUUUAUUUUUAUGUAUUUUUUUCCACAUUUUUUAAACAUUUAUUUUACUUUAUUUUUCAUUUUUGUUUCUUUGUUUUUGGACUGUUAUUGAUGAGUUUCUUCUUUUUUUUCUAUAUUGCCUUUACUUCCUGUCAUACUUCAUGUAUACCUAAACCCCCAACAUUAUAGUGAAGAAGAGGUUGGAAAUGCAAACAAAAACACAUGAAAAACUGAGAAUUUUCAUUUCUUAGGGGGAGGCAUUUACCUGUCGCAUCCAUCCACUAAAAAGCCAUUAACUUCACAGCAGACCGCCGAGCUUGGUUAAUGAAUGAAUCACAUGAUUGCAGUCGACUGACAGUUUUGGAUUUGGUCCCUGAGAACAUUUCUUUUCAAAGCUCAAAUUAAAAAUGACCAGAAUUAAAUCAUUAUCAACUUAACAAAGGCUUUUCCUGAUUGUAGCCAUUUCCUAAAUUACCUUAAUUUUUUCCGCAGCACUUAACUUCCCUUUAAAGAACACUUUGAUGAAAAAUAAGCGCUCCUCCGGCGAGUUUGUGACACGAGUUCACAGCAGCUGUCCAGAGGGACGGCUGAAAGAUGCAGAGUACAGCACAGUGAUAGUUUAUUAGGCAGUCUGCCAUGUUGGUCCCCUGCACUUCCUCUUAAAAAGAAGAAGACGGGGUGAGGAGGUUUUAUUAACUUGGCGUGGUCCCCUGAGGGAAAAAGAGCGGCUUGGCUCCCCUUCACUCCCUCUCCAACUCCCUCUGUACAAUAUUCCUCUGCAGGAAUAUUACCAGGCCCCGGGUUAGCUUUGCUUUAAUAUAUUUAAAUACAAUUAAUUAAGAAAUGCCCCUCCGACAUAAGCAUAAUAUGAGCUGACAUAAUGAAGAUCUUUGAAGUAGAUUUUGAUACCGAGCCCCUCUUCCAGACGGCGCCUCCAGAUGAGGUAAUCUAACGGGGCCUGGGGGCGCUCCUCACACCGGCUGAUGGGCGCUUUAGUGCUGCAUAUUCCCAUAUUCCCAAGCAAAGACCACUUAAUCAAAUUACCAUAGACUAAUUGCCACACAGUGAACCUGGGGAUUUUCAGGGGCUCAUGGGGGUCUGCUGGGGCCAGAAGGGAGAGGUAACGAAGAUUCAUGUGAAACCGUUAUGAAUACUAUGAUGUCGUAUGUAUGAUGACAUCUAGGGCUGGGCGAUAUGGGAAUGAGUUUAUCACGAUACAUUUUUUCAUAUCAGUCGAUAUUGAUAUAUAUCAUAAGAAAAUUGUUGACGAUGUGGUCAUCUGUUGAGUUUCUGUCGGGGGUAGCACUCAUUUUCUUUGUUUCUCACCAACAGUGCUGUCGGCUUCACCUGUUAAAGUGCUAUGGUUGGGUGUAGCUGCUGUCUGCUACGACUUUGCAGUUGUUUGAUACUUGGGUCUAAUUCAGCACGAUUGGUUCAACGUGAAGCGGACCAGGAGCAACUCCCCUUUUCAUUGGCUAUUCCUAUAGUCUACUAAAACAUGGCAGCAUAUCUGUUAGAAAGUCAGUGUUAGAUUUUCAAGUAAAUACCACUGUUAUAUUGUGUUUUAUGGUGAGUUUUCAUUUGUCCUACGCUCAUAAACGCACCAUAGGCGUUCUGAUGUGAUUUAUCGCACUGCACCUGUGUCUGAGAAGCUGAAGCUGCGAAAGUUUAAUUUUCCUCCUCAUGCAACAGAGGACAGUUCGUAAAUUUCCUCUUCCCUGUUUUUAUCAAACAUUCACCUUCACACACACCAUACACCUGACCGCUCUAUACCAGCUAAAUCUUGGAGAACAAACUUUUCUCCUUUUUAAUGCCGACUAUUGAAAAAGCAUAUCGACCAUGUUUUAUACUGAUGUUGAGGGAAAUUAAUUUUUGAUAUAUAUGUCAUUAUCAUUUUAUUGCCCAGCACUACAUAUGUAUGAAGACACCUAAACCUGAUCCGUUCUGUACCCUCAAGGUCUUUGUUGAUGCUCCCCCUGCCUCCGACUGGGACCUCUCAGAACAGGGCCCAUCAGAACUCACUGCAUGUAAAUAUGGUCAGGAACGGUCCUGAUUGAACUGCUGAUGAAUGAAUGAAUAUUGAGUCGUGUGUAUGUGUGUAUUUGGAGAGGAAAUCUAUCAGUGCAGUGUGUGUGUGUAUGUAUGUGUGUGAAUGAGCACAGCCUCAGGUCACAACAGUACACCUCGGAGCUUUGCACGGUUACAGCGUACCCCCCCAUCAUUAACCCGAGGACAUGCAUGUUUUUUUCUUCGUUUACAGAUGUUAAAUCCAUCACAUGAACCAGUCUACCACGUACCUCUCAUUUUUUAAUAAUCACACCGUAUAAAGAGAAAACUACUGAGAGCCGACAUGCAACACGAGGCUGCUUUUGAUGUUGUUGGUUUGCACCAUCUGGAAUACUGAUGAAACAGCGUUCUCUAAAUAGGUCAUCUUAAAAGUCACAAUCACCAACAAUGCACAUUUGUCAGCAGAUACACGUUCACCCUGAAAACAUGGUUUAAAAUAGAAGUGAGGAGGCUCAGCUGUGCAGGAAUCCCAAGGCUGCAGCUCGAACCCCCGUCACCAUCUCAUUCCACCUGAAGGCUUUCUAUCACACAGGAAACUACUGCCUUUGUUAGGAGCGCUGGUCACUUUUACUACCAAACUUUACUCAUGUUUACUCUCCCCCAAGUCCGAUUCAGAUAUUUACAUACAUGAGAUAGAGAUAAAGUUGUUUUUUGGGCCUUCAGGCAGCACUGCACUCAAAGCGGACAUUAACUCUGUAGUAGAAGUCACCACAUGAGCUCAAACUCUCAUGAAUAAAUGACUGCGUGACUCAGUCUGGAUCUGCACUUGUGGAAACGUUGAUAAACUGAGUUCAUAAACGGAUGUUUUCAGGCUGUUUCAACAUUAAUCUGGUUUGACUGAUAAGGAAAGUUCAGUUUUAUAUUCACAUAGUUCUGAGGGUUCCAACUUUCUGUGGAAUAGACUGAGCUAAGGUCGCACUCUUACCAUCAGAGUAGGGCUGGACGAUAAAACGACAGCAAUACAUAUCACUAACUGAUUUCCCUCAAUAUCAAUAUAAAAUAUAGUCAACAUGCUUUUGAUAGUGAGCAUUCUGACAUGUUUUGGUAGACUAUACAAAUAAACAAUGAAAAGGGGAGUUUCUCCGGGUCUGAACCAAUCAUGUUCUGAAUUAGAACCAAGUAUCAAACAACUGCAUCACAGCAGACAGCAGCUCCAUCCAACCAUAGCACUUUAACAGGUGAAGCCGACAGCACUGUUGGUGAGAAACAAAGAAAAUGAGUGCUACCCCCGACAGAAAUGACCAUGAAGGCUCAACAGAUGACCACAUCAAUGUCAACCACAACACCGGCGUUAGGAAAACGUCGGUGGUGUGGAGGUAUUUUGGUUUUUGGAGGUCGGACAUGAAGCAGAGUAAUGUGGACUGUAAAUUAUGUCGAGUAUAUGUUCUCACAAAGUCGGGGAAUACCUCAAAUCUUUUUCACCACCUGAAGCAGCGCCACGCCGCAGAGCACGCGCAACGCAGAAGGUUACAAACCCCGAGAGGAGCGAGGAGCCCAUGGCGCCUGAAACAGACGACCAUUCAGUCGGCUUUCUCUAGAGCGACGCCUUACGACAAAACGCCAAAGAGACACAAAGACCUCACAGAUGCAGGAGAUUAUUGUGUUGGAAAAGAAAUGAGACCAAUAAACACUUCUACAUUUCAUUUUUAUAUCCUGAUAUUGAUCGAUAUCAGCUGAUAUGAAAACAAUAUAUAGUGAUAAACUUUUUCCCAUAUCGCCCAGCCCUAAGUCAGAGCUUACACUGCCCCCCAUCAUCUAAAUAACAUAUUACAUAUAAAGUGUUUACUGUUGCUAACUCUUCCCAUUCACAUGCAUCCAAACCUGCGAGCUGCUUUUCCAGGUUUCAUACCCGAGACUUCACCCCCAACUCUGACACCCACAGACCUGCAGCCGCCCCAAAUAUCUCUCUAUAUUAUAUAUGACUGCAGACUUGCUGAUUGUGCCCAUACAAAGCUGAAAUGAAACCUCCCUGCCUCACAAACCAUUUCUGCCGCCAACUGCUCUCAGUGUGACUUCAGGAUGCCUCCGACAAAGCAGUGAACUAUGUCAGAUGAUAAUGCCUCUCCUGGUAUCUACCUGCUGCUGCCAGGCUCAUGAACAUAAGUGGGGGAAAUGUAAGGUCUGCUGUCAAACUGUGUAAAAGAGAAAGAGAGCACUUGACAAAAAGGCCUUCACACACUGAGAGGUGCACGGUUCCCUAUAUCUGUGUACUUUUAUUGGGAAAGUGUUGGAGCAUAAGCCGUCCAGCUGCUGCACAAACAACUGCUCCAAGAUUGGAGAGAGAGGGAAACGUUUGGACGAGUUAUGUAACGGUCUGUGGUAAAGAAAUGUGAUAGAAGGAUAUAAAGCCAGUCCUCCACAAGCCAACCACAACAACUCCAGGCUUCAGAACACACAAUACCUACACUGUCAGUAAAGGAAAACUACAACUGCGUCACAUCAGACAGCAGCUACACCCAACCAUAGCACUUUAACAGGUGAAGCCGACAGCACUGUUGGUGAGAAACAAAGAAAAUGAGUGCUACCCCCGACAGAAAUGACCAUGAAGGAUCACCAGAUGACCACAUCAAUGUCAACGACAACACUGGCGUUAGGAAAACGUCGGUGGUGUGGAGGUAUUUUGCAGAGUAGCAGAGUAAUGUGGACUGUAAAUUAUGUCGAGUACAUGUUCUCACAAAGUUGGGGAAUACCUCAAAUCUUUUUGAGGAGCCCAUGGUGCCUGUGCAGCCGAAACAGUCGACCAUUCAGUCCACUUUCUCUAGAGCAACGCCUUAUGACAAAAUGCCACAGAGUCACAAAGACCUCACAGAUGCUGUAGCUCAUUCUAUUGCAAAAGAUGUGCUACCAAUAAACACUGUUAAAUUUCAUUUUUUAUAUCGUGAUAUAAAAAAUCGAUAUCGACUGAUAUGAAUAAAAUACCCUAACUCUGAGUGAUAGUCGUAAUAUUGUGAAGAUUUGUGAGUCUCUUCUAAAAACUGUACAUGUUGUUGAUUCCUUGAUGUGUCCAUAGUACUUCAGGUCUAUGUUUAGGCUGCCUCAUGAAAGCCUGGAGAGCACAAUUAAAGAGUCUCACUCCUAAAGAAGUUAGCAGUACUCACCAAAUGGUUGGCGCCAAUGUCGCCAAUGUUAAUUCGCUGGAAGAAACAAUUCUGAGAAAUGCCUCUAGGUUGGCAUCGAGCUCCGACCUCCAGUCCUGAGAAAUGAGACCAAUACUGCAAAAUACUGCAGUUCAUGGAAAGCCUGACUGAGGCGGGAGCAGAAAAAAAAACACUGAGACGAAAAAACAUUUAAAACAAAUUUAGAGCAAAAAUAAACAUUUUUACAGGCUUGUUCAAAAAGUGGAUUUAGCUCAGGGUCAGAUAUAUUAAUUUAUUUAUAAUGUUUUAACCAAAAUAAUGAGGUUUAAUAAUUUCAUUUAAUAUUUUCUGUAAAGGUCUAAGUAAACUUUUUUAUAAUUAUCUGUUAACUUUGUUAAUGAUGAUUUUACUAUUGUUCUCUGUUUGCUGCUGUAACUCUGCAGAUUUCCCAGCCAUGGGGGAUUUUUAUUAACAAUAUUUUUGUUAUAAUAUCUUUUUUUAUGGUUUGAUUAAGUAUGAAUUUAAACCGACAAACUGGAGGAUAUGAUGAGGUCAAGGUUUUGAGGAUGCGUUCAGACGCCUCGGGUGUAAAGGUCACUUUCACACUCAGUCAGACACUUCGGUGACCCAGCCGUUCCCCUGACCUCCUUCCUAAGAACUUCUGCAGUCACGCUACGUCUGCCUUUGCUUAUGGGUGACAGCCAUUCUUAGCCAGGGCUUGUCAUGAGAAUUUAAAAAUAGACUACAUUAAACGCAAGUGAGUGAACAAAGGACGGAGGCUGCUGAGACGUGGACCGCACUGUGUAACAGCGAGUUCCUAAAUAAUAUAACAGCAGAAGGAAUAAGGAUAAUAAUAAUAACGAUGAUGAUGAUGAUUUAACGAGGUGAAGGAAGUUUGACACGAGUUACAUCACUGAGAAUAUUUUCAUAUAAACUGAAUUUAUGACGGCACAUGUACAAGAGUCACAAACUCAAUCAGCUCCAGUCAUCUCAUCCUAACUGAUAAUAUAUUCUGACUUAUAAUAAAAUCUGUUUAUUUCUGACCCUCAUAGAUAUAUAUAUAUAUAUUCAUAUAAAGAUACUGUAUAUCCACAGCAGGGACAGACUGAGAGCCUCAUCAGUACCAGCUCACAGGCUCAGAUCAGGGCCUUUCAUAGAGAGCUUUAGCUUCAGUUCAGAGGGUCUCUUUCUCUUUAUUUCCAGUGAUAGGCCAUCGUUCUUAUGUAACACCCCUGUGACAUUUUCACACUCCAUAGAAACGUCUUUAAAUAAAGCUCUGAAAUAGACUCUUAAGGCGCUGCGGCCCUUAAGAGAAGCUGUGUCGAUAAUAUCAACUGUAAUUGCCGGUGGACUCCGAUUUCUCCAACAUCUGUCUACGCCUGAAUUCCCUCAUGGCCAACAUUAUUGAUCACGCUCCCUGUCACUGCAUCACAUUACCAUCUGUCUAUACAUUUACCAUCAGGCUUUGUGCGCUAAGGUCAAUGCAAACGUGAGGGAAUAAAACUCCACCGUUUCAUCGGCGUUUGUUUGAAACAGGAGAAUAAAGAGGCAAUUUAUCAUCCGAUGAUACAUCUGUUAUCGUGGUUUAAUACAUUCAUAACUGCAGAGAGACUGUAUGUGCAAGGUAGGUAGGACUGCAUGAUAGUGGAAAAAGAGAGUAGAGGAAGAGCAAAUUGGUUUAUAUUGUAUAAGUUCAUUUCUGAGGUUGAAACUGAUUUUAAGACUUUAAAAGUAGAGACACUACGGAAUUGUUAGAUUUCACAAAAAAGUCGGUUUGUCCAUCCAAUCAGGUGAUUCCAGAUAGAUGCAUAAAUCCUGGACUGAGAGGAAGUGGUGACCGCGAGAUGUGACCGUCAUUUGUGGUGUGACGUGACCAUCGUGCACGCAUAUGUCGUAACUGCCUCACAAGCUAGCAAGCUUCUUCGUCUGCUUGGUCAUCUUUCCAGCAUUUCAAAGCGGGUGGUAAAAAGCGUCAAGAACCACAACCAUCCACCAGUAUGAUCCAGAAAGUUUGAUGUUGUCAGUAUUUCUUAUUCUUUCAGACAGUUAUGAUGGAUGCGGGUCGAGUACGGCGGCCUCAACACGCUCAGGUACAUCUGUAAUUAUUGUGCGUAUUUCCACACGGAUGUAAAUGUUGACCUCUCCUCAGGACACGGUAACGAAUCAGGACGCGCUAUAUAUCGCAGAUAAAACCACACACUCGCUCUACUGCACCCACAUCUGAAAAAAGGAGGAAACUUAAGACCGGUCUGGAUCUGUCUGAGCAGGGAAAAGUCGGUCGAACACGUUGAGAUUGUUUCCUAGAUGUGCUCAGAGGCACUCAAAGAAAGGACAAAAACGACUAAAAGCAGCACUCCUGCCUCCUCUCUGCAGCCCUCCUCUCCCCCGUGCCUCUUCCCUCGCCACGUUCAUCCUCCCCCUGCUGUCAGGAUGAGUGUCGGGCUCUCUGCUCUCCCAGAUGUUCGCUGGCAGGAGGAGGCUGAAUGUCUGUCAUCAGUCAGGACAAGUGACAGCCACGUCGGCGGCCUGUCACAGCUGCCGUUGCUCAGGUCACUGAAGGUGUCGCCAUCAAGCAAUGAUGCCGAGGCGAACGUCGCAGCAACCUCGCAGACAAUAAAAGGGGGACAAGAGGAGGUUCUGGUUUUUACAGUGAACCAGGAGGGAGGACUGGGACUGCAUAGACUUCUCACUUUAGGACCCAGAAGACCUUUUUCUAGGGUCAGACUCAAUGUAACUGAACACAAAUUAUCAAAUCAGACGUGUUUUCGUGAGUUAAACCACGCGUGGACAACUCUGAGGCAACUUCCACAGCAUACAGCAGCUUCAAGUCAUCCUCAAUGCCAUCCAUGCACAUCUAUAACAUCUAUUUCUGUGUUUCCCCUUAAAAUAAGUCCAAACUCAUGUGGACAGCACCUCACACACACACACACACACACAGAUCUGCCGUACAGUAAACCACCAAACCUGAGGGUCCGGUCCUGCAGGGCUUUGAGGAAGCCGUUCUCCCAAACAGGGUUACAUCAUCAUCAUCAUCAUCAUCAGGAGGAGGAAAAUGUCAUGACCCAAAUUUGACUGCAAAUGAAUCAUGAACGAUUUAGCAGAGAGGAUCUGAAGAUCGUGUGCAUCUUCAAAUGUUCUCGGCGUAUCCCACAGUGACCUCCCCGUAAACCCAGAGACACACUUCCUGUUUUUUUCUUUGUUUUCGACUUGAAUAAAGUCAGUCAGCGGCAAUAACUGCAAAAACACAAACAAGCAGUGUGAUGUAAAAAAUACAGAAUGAGCAGUCAGACGAGAGACUGAAGAAAAUCUGCUCUAGUUAAAGCUUUUUUAUUAUUACUCCAGCUGUGUUAGAUACUUGAUUCUGAUUGGUCAAAAUCCAACAACUCUGGUUAUUGAUUGUCAGUAGUGUUGGGCGGUAUGACAGUAUUUACAGCCACAUAGACAUAUAAGCAGUAGAUUGUGUCCUUCCAGAGGAGGAAAUCUACUUCUAGACUUCUAGAAUCAGCAUCUCCUCAUCCAUGGUGUCAUCGGGGUGAAAUGACGUCUAAAAACCUUUCACUUGUUCGUCUCCGCCCGUUUGCAUGGUGUGAAAUACGAUCCUCCUGAAACACGGAGUGUUUUAUUUUGAAAAGAAGCCGGAUGUUUUAUUUUGUGUCUGUGCCCGACUUCCUUUCCAGCACGGGUUAAUCUGUGCUGAAUUUAUCCGCCAUGCUCCGGCGUCCUGAAAAAAUAGAACUCUUGUGAUCCGCAGAGGAACGGAAAGAAGUCGGUGUAAAUUGACACGUUAACUUGAAUGUUUACGAUCAGCUACGAUCGGAGGAUACGACCUUUUAGGAGACAUUCUGGAUGCGAAAUUGGGGGUUAGCGUCCAGUUGUUCUCUUGAGUCCAUACCAGUUCACCUCAGUUUCAUCAAAGUUCAUAAAAACAGAUGAAUUGAAUAUUAAAUACCGAGUUUGUCGGUCAGGGUCAGGUCUGCAGGAUCACAGGAUCAAACCCACUCUCUCCUAAACCCACACUGUUGCUCUGUCAGGACGCCGGGAUCAUGAUUGUGGUUCUGAAAAGUUGACAUGACUUUCUGUAUUUGUCUGAGAACAGGCAGCUGCACUCUGAAUGUCGACACUUCCUCCACAAAUACGAUGAUACAGUAGCGUGGAUUUGCGGCGUAUAAUAGCACAGUGGGGGCGUUGAAAUAUGAAAUUGCUUGCUCUAAUUGCUGCCACUUUGGAACUUAAGCUGAGCAAAAGCAAUUUUUACUGAGAGAUUUAUGUCGAGGAGGAUCCACUACAACAGAGAGAAGUGACCGGACGAGCUGCAGCAGCUCAUUCCAGAGGAGCUCAGAUGAUGACAUGACUCAGAGUCUCUGGAAACUCAAGCAGCAUCUUACUGUCAUGGAGGUGGAUGAGAGAGAACAGUAACAGGGGAUUUCAGGACGGCAUCAUCAUCUUUGCAUUGAGGAAUAAUGUGACGAAGAGGAAGUUCAGCAGAGUAGAAAUAAAGGAAAGGAAGAAUUAAUCUCCUGUACUCUGGUCCUGUUCCUGAAAAGUAAACUUUUGGACCCCGCUUCACCGUCUUUGUUCAGAUAUUAUUUUAUCUACAGUCUAAAAAAGGAAAUAUAACGAGGUCUUCGCCUUGCUCCGGGUUGCAGAGGCUGCAGAUAAAAACUCUGGCGGUUCCUCCUUGUUGUGUUUAUUUUUGCUCCCUGCGGACUGAGCACAGGCAUGUCCAAAGGUGUGUUUGUAUUCCCUGAAGACAAUAAAAGGAGAACUGUACGGAUCACUGCACCAAGGUUGUGGUUAGGAGUCAAAGGCAAGUGAACAAGGUCAACUCUGACUUUCUUUGACUUCUUACUGCUGCCUGAAAAUCCCAACACUCUCCAGGGCCGAGAAAGAAAACGACUUUAGGAGGUUCGAUUUGGACUGAGAUCUGAUGUUACGUCUAAAUGACAAGAAAUCCUAAAAUUGAUCUUAUAUAACACAACACACUUUCCUGUAGGAAGUAACCGGCCUUUACAGAUCUGUGCUUUGUAACAUUAGCAUGAAGAGAAGUGGAGCUGCACCUCUGAACGCACCGCUAAAUUCUGCGCUGUUCCUCACACAGACUAUAUCUGCAAAAACGCACCUGAAGGACGCAUUUACGUUAAAGCUGUCCAAACAUGAACAGAACCAACCUAAAACUAACUUCACUGCGUAUUUACAGGAAAAUAUAUCCAACCUAAAACUAACUUCACCGCCGUGUUUACAGGAAAAUAUAUCCAACCUGAAACUAACUUCACCGCCGUAUUUACAGGAAAAUAUAUCCAACCUAAAACUAACUUCACUGCGUAUUUACAGGAAAAUAUAUCCAACCUAAAACUAACUUCACCGCCGUAUUUACAGGAAAAUAUAUCCAACCUAAAACUAACUUCACCGCCGUAUUUACAGGAAAAUAUAUCCAACCUAAAACUAACUUCACCGCCGUAUUUACAGGAAAAUAUAUCCAACCUGAAACUAACUUCACCGCUGUAUUUACAGGAAAAUAUAUCCAACCUAAAACUAACUUCACCGCCGUAUUUACAGGAAAAUAUAUCCAACCUAAAACUAACUUCACCGCCGUAUUUACAGGAAAAUAUAUCCAACCUGAAACUAACUUCACCGCCGUAUUUACAGGAAAAUAUAUCCAACCUAAAACUAACUUCACCGCUGUAUUUACAGGAAAAUAUAUCCAACCUGAAACUAACUUCACCGCUGUAUUUACAGGAAAAAAAACAUUUGUUGAUUUUUUUUUAUGCGCACAUGUGACCCUAAAUACAUUUUACAAUUCACACACAUCUAUUUUUAGUCUUAAAUGCAAGUGAAACGGUCACACUGUCGAGCCCUGGAAACUGUUUCGUGCUCAACAAUCGCUCUUUUGUCGUCACUCAGUUACUCACAAAAUACAAAAAUAUGUACUUUACUGAGUGAGAAUAACAAGGACAGUCUGAAUUAAAGAUGCAAAUGACAGAUUUGUUCACACUGUACUUAUCAAGGUACCAUCAUAAUAAAAAACAGACAUUAAUUUUGAAAUAUGUGUUACUAAUGUGGUUAUUAUUGAAGCUUGAAUGAAUCAGACAUGAACAAUAAUUAAGGCCGAUAAAGUCAAACAUGAACAUUAAUCGUUGAUGUAAACAGGUUUGAUCGUAGUGAGAUGAUUUUUGAUUAUAUCGCCCAGCUCUAAGUGACUGUAGGUCAUAUCUCCGUUGGUUUUAAUCUUAUUUUAAUUUUUUUUAAAUUUAACAUAUUGUAUAAUGUUCUGUAUUGUGUUUUAUCUAUACUGUAAGGUGACCUUGAGUGUCUUGAAAGGCGCCACAACAAAUAAAAUGUAUUAUUAUUAUUAUUAUGACCAGAAUGGCACAAUUAUGGACUAGAAAUUAGAUAAUUUACAUAUAUUUUAGACUGAGUGUAAAACCGUCAGUCUGGUGAGUCUGGUCCACAGAUUGUUCUCUUGUCUCUGUAACUGAAACAUCUCUGAUUGAACAGGGAUGAAAUUAACUCAAAGUACUGGAUGACAAUAAAUGAGUGGAUGUUAUAUAACCAGCGCUGUUAUAUAAUACAUGAUCUUUAAAAAUAGUUGGUACUACUUUCAAAUCAUGGGCCGCCCACCUGCUCAGAGUUAAAGAGAGAUUUAUGAUUAAAGUCAAACAGAACAAACACAUGCCAACAUGUCAAAGUGCAGUCUAUCCCAAUUACUGCAGAGGAUGGAGUCUGACUCCGGAGCUGAGACAGUUUAUUAAAAAGUACAGGACAAACAAACCCAACCUGAGUGGGCACCAAAGAAAAGAGAGCAGAGAGGGAGAGCUUUGAGAGUCGACCACAGAGUGAACUCUGCUACAAAUGAGGAACUAUUGUGUGCUUUUUUCCACAAUGUGUUCAUGAAUUUCCACAAUGCUUUUUUUAUUGCUGCUCUAGGGUUCACUGGCUCAUGAAACUUUCUAAGCACACAAAAGACCGAAGAACCUUUCAAUCCCAGAAAGAAAGAAAGACAGAGGGGGUAAAAAUCAGCGCUGAAAUGUUUUCCCAAGACGACAGGAGAAAGCAAAUGAGAGAUCUGAAAGCUAAGCCAGCGGUGUCAACACUAAAAACUGUCCAUACUAAUGACUUCCCACAGGGAGUCUCCACUUUAUUCCUUCUCCGUUGUCAGCACAGUCACCCAUUCAACUGCAGGAGAGCCGUCUCACUUCCACUCCCGAGGAACGCUCGGCAUCGCAUUUCCAUCCUGAUUUGCAGCCGAUGUAUAAACCCGUCCUUGUCUUCUAUUUAAAUGUAAAACAUGGAGCUAUUCAGAGCAUGCAUGGAGCUGCUGCAGAGACACUAAUCAGGAACAAUGUACCUGCGGGGGAGCGCUGACACCCUGUUUAAAACAAUCCGAUUAUAUUGAUGUGUUUAUUUAUCCAAUGUGCUCAGGGUCAUCAUCGCUCAUGCUUGUCAUCCUGCACCUCCAGCGCGCUCCGUCUUCACUCCAAUCUUCUCCUCUUUUGUUUAGGACCACACCUUCUCCGUUUGUUAGCAGCCUGUUCAUCUCCCUCACUGUCCCGGCCUUCAUCGCUCAUGCACUCCUUCUCUUCUCGCUGACGUCCCUCCUCGUCUUCGCCCACCCCUCCUUUCCGUUCAGAUCACUCGGCUCCAUAUCAGCCUCCUCCUCCUCCCUUUGGAUCACCUCCUUCUUUCCUCUCCUCUCUUCCUCUCCAUCAUUUCAUCCUCCCUUUCCCUGAGACGUGCUGAUGGUGGGCUCUGCACCCCCCACCCCCCCUCUGUCAAACUUGUGAUAAACGUCUUCUCCUCCCACUGAUACACGGCUAAUACCUCCAAAAAGUCAAAUACAUCACGUUAACCAUCAUGGCGAGUGUGUGUGUGUGUGUGUGUGUGUGUGUGUGAAGGACUGAUGUCAGGUAGAGUCUGCUGUCUCAGCAGACUGACAUCUGGGUAAUGAAGUCCUGAUGAUCCUUCUGGAGUGAGUGUCGCUCUGCUGAGAAUAGAUGCACGCCGCCAUAACUUAACGCAGCGAUUCCAGCGAGCAGCGGUGGCGGCGGGCGGACUGAUGGCCCCCAGGCUUGUUGAGACUGUAACUGCCACUUCUGGUUAACGACGAAUCAGAGACGGGACUCAGACGCUGGUUAACCCACUUUCUAACUCCACACACUGCCUGGAUGAUCAUAUCAUCGCUGAGUAAUGUGUGACGGCAGAAACGACCAUGAUCUGUUUCAUGACGACACGUUAACGCCAACGACGCAGACUUCAACGCUCAGCUGGAUCAGUGACCAACAGCUCUUAUGAGCGGACUAACCCCCAAUUUCCACCUUCAUCCUGAUCGUCUCCUAAAAGGUCGUAUCCUCCGAUCGUAGCUGAUCGUAACCAUUCAAGUUAACGUGUCAAUUUACACCGACUUCUUUCCGUUCCUCUGCGGAUCGCCGGACUCCUCAGCUGAUCACAAGAGUUCUAGUUUUUCUGGACGCCGGAGCAUGGCGGAUAAAUUCAGCACAGAUUAACCCGUGCUGGGGUUUGUUUCUCCAGAUGUAACAAAGAGUGUUGAUGGGAACAAAUACUGGUUUCCAGUUUGCUUGUUGUUCUUGUUCUGGACGUCUUCUUCUCCAUCAUCAUUUAACUCCUCCCACUUUCCUUAACGCUGUCUUGUGUGAAACGGCGUGUGCGGCCCCUCUUUGGUGUCAUGUUGGAAAUUGCUUGGGUUUUUCCUCCGCGACAAUCAAUUUGGCUGUUUUUCACCAUUUCUGACGGACUAAAUCAAUGUGACAGGAGCACUCGCUCUCGCUUAGGUGGAAGAUUUUACACUGUCAGAGGAGGAUUUUUCUGCUCUCCUAGCAAACAAAAGAAAAGUGUCUGCCGACGAGGGCAGAGCGGGCGCAUGAAGUGUUAGAAAUCAGACAGCGGGGGACACCCAGGAUGACAGGAAGGACAGGAUUUAAGGAGAGGAGGAGUGCAGGUGGGAAUAAAGUGCUGUACAGAAGUGAACAUGAUGUGAUGAGAUCAUAAACUGUAGAAAUGUAAAUCGGACUCUCCUGAGGUUGAGACUUUCAGGCCCUGAGCGUUAAAAUGAAGGUCUGAUUGACAUGCUUCUGGUGUAACAGAGUGGAGGAUUAUGUUUUCACACCAACUCUGAGUAAACCUGGAAGGUUGAACUGAGAGUUAGUGUUGCAGGAAAACACAACACACACACACACACACACACACACACACACACACACACACACAGGAGUCACAAGUCUGUCUAGUGUUAUGAACGUUCAGAUCCAACACCUCACUCGUCCUGACUGCUCCGCCUCCCUGUGCCUGAAACGCUGAGCCCGGUCACGUCAGAGGCUAAAGUUACUGUUACCACGGUUACCAGGUCUUCACCAACUUCACCGUCCACCUUUUACUCCUGCACAUGCAGGGCGCUCUCUGCUCUUCGGUCAAAAAUCGAUGAUGUGAUGAAAACAGAGGAAGUAGGAAGUAAGAGGAUCAUGAUGGACUUUAUUUAUUUAAUGUUCAGAUGGAUCAGAGGAGACUCGGGGUCGACUGAACGUUCAUGGAAGUCCAGCUGCUGUUCAACCAUCCUCACUCUCCAUCAUAUACUUUAUUUUUGUAUCCAUCACAGGGCUUGACACUAACUAAGGAGUACUAUUAUUACUAUUAUUAGAAAUCAAUUUUAGGUCUUUUGGUCACAUGACAUGGAAGCUAUUGUGAGAACAGCCUUUUCUGAGAACAUCAACCGGUAAUUUAUUGACGGUCCCUUAUUCAACACCCGACGUUGACAGUGAGGGUGUCGAGUAGAUUUAACCGCGCUGCUGUUGUUAUUCCCGGUUAUGGAGAGUGAGAAGACAGCGGUAGAUCCUCAGAGAAUGUCCGUCAGAUAUCCAACCUGAAACUAACUUCACCGCUGUAUUUACAGGAAAAUAUAUCCAACCUAAAACUAACUUCACCGCCGUAUUUACAGGAAAAUAUAUCCAACCUAAAACUAACUUCACCGCCGUAUUUACAGGAAAAUAUAUCCAACCUAAAACUAACUUCACCGCCGUAUUUACAGGAAAAUAUAUCCAACCUAAAACUAACUUCACCGCCGUAUUUACAGGAAAAUAUAUCCAACCUAAAACUAACUUCACCGCCGUAUUUACAGGAAAAUAUAUCCAACCUAAAACUAACUUCACCGCCGUAUAUACAGGAAAACAUAUCCAACCUAAAACUAACUUCACAGCCGUAUUUACAUCUAUUUUUAGUCGCACUGUCGAGCCCCGCCAUCACACAUUUUGAAUUUGUCAUCUUUUUCUGCGUAUUCUAUGAUAAAAACACAAAAUCCCAGAGUUUAACCUAAUGCCUGUUUAUAUAAAAUCAUGUGAUCUUUUUAUUUUGGGGUACUAACCACAUUCACUUUUACUUUAGCAUUAGUUUCUUAAAGCUGGAACUGGACCGUCCUCCCGCCCCAGUAAACCAGAAUACCGCCCCCUUUAAACGCUCUCCAUAUAGACAAAUUUAAGUUUAAUGCUAACUGAUAGUACUGUGGAUUUCUUUCCUGUAAGAGUUUUUUCUGUGUGAAAAUAAAAAGCAAUAUUUUCCAGUCAAUCUAUUUCUGCACAUAUCCAGACUGUAUGGACCCCAUGAAUAAUUCAUAGUGGGGCUCUUUAGUCCCAUGCACCAUUUACUGCAUGCUUCAUUACGACUGUGGGCUCAGCUGGUGCCGAGCCCCUUCUUUAAUAUUAGCCGGAGCACUAGUUGACAUUCAUGUGAGCCUCCGCUAAAGCAGGGGCACGAGGCUUUAAAUCACUGUCAGGGCUCCACACAGAGCUGCACACAUAACUUCUGACUCCACUCUGUUGGUUAGGAGCAACAGCAGAUGAUCUGGACUUAAGCUAGACAAAUAACUGCCCUCCACUUCCUCCCCCCCUCACCCUCCUCACCCUCCUCCCAGUCUGCUCCGGGCUGCUUUAGUCAAUAUCCGGUCCUGCUUUUCCUACUUCUCAUUCCUGGCCUCUCCCUGCUCAGCCCUUAUCUCUCUUCACUCUUUAUUGCCCUCUUCAUCUGAGGGCUGUUGUUUAGAUUGACAUCUGCCACGACGGCUGAUAAAGACCAAACCGUCCCUCUCACGACCAUCAAAAUCCAAUUCUUGGGUAAAGACGGGAUCAUGCUGUGACGAUACUUCCUCGAACUCAUCAGGCUGCAGAUUACUGCAACAAAAAAAGAGCAGAAUUCAUGAUGAUCUGGACAAAGAGCUGACCUCCCCACCAAAUGGACCACUGCUGUCGAUCAGCUGCUGUCCUUCAGCCCCGUAUCAGGCUGAAACACACACACACACACACACACACAGUGAAGCACUGGAGCACUAACAUGUCAGCAUAAUGAAAUUAGACAGCCUCGUUUGUGACGCUGCAUUGUCCUUGUUCAUCGGUGGCACCGUUCCCACCACACACGGCCUCCUCACCCUGUCCGGAGCUGAGCGACCAGGAUAUUGCUAAUCGCUCACAAUAGAAGGAUUAGCAAGCAAGGACAAUAGGGAUCUAAAUGUCAGAGGCCAGCACCUGCCCUAAGCCCUCUCUGUCGGACAACAGUUAAUGGGCAGCAGGCGGCGGGCAAAUUGUGAAGCGCCGCUCGAAAGAGGAGGCGGGGAGAGGAGGCCUCCGGAGAAAACUGAUGUACAUACAGCUGAAGACAUUUAAAUUUACGACACAUGUCCACAGAUUAAUGUUGGAUAAUAAUCUGAAAAUAUGACAUUUAUAUACUCAGGGAUAGUGAGCACCGCCCACAUUUAAUAAAAGGGAAAUGAAUAAAAACUAAAGUUUAAUUCAGAAAUCAGACAUUGGAUUAAUUCUAAAUCAUAAACCUGAAUUCUCAUUUCAUGAAAUUCCACCUCUGAAGAACAUUAAGGUACAUACUAACUAAACAAGAGGGUACUUUGUUUACAUUCACAUUUUAACUAAAUACUUUAUGUACAUUAAUACUUCAUUUACAUUCUAACUAAUAUUUUGUUCACAUUUUAAUUUAACCAGAUGGCACUUUGUUUACAUUUAGAGUUUAACUGAAUACUUUGUUUACAUUAAUACUUUGUUUAUAUUUUAACUUAACCAGAAGGUAGUUUGUUCACAUUUUAACUAUAUACUUUGUUUAGCUUUUUACAUAACCAGAGGGUGCUUUGUUUACAUUUAUACUCUUUUUACAUUUUAACUGUACCAAAGGGUGCUUUGUUUAUAUUUAUACUCUUUUUACAUUUUAACUGUACCAAAGGGUGCUUUGUUUAUAUUUUAGCUUGUUUACAUUGGUAAUUUGUUUACAUUUAACUUAACCAGAGGGUACUUUGUUUACAUUUUAACCUCAUACUUUGUUUACAUUUUAACUUAAUGCUUUGUUUACAUUAAUACUUUGUUUAUAUUUUAACUUACCCAGAGGGUACUUUAUUUACAUUUUAACUUAACAAGAGGGUACUUUGUUUACAUCUUUAGAAAAACAACAACAACCAGAGGUAAUUUGUUUUUUUUUUCAAAGUCCAUCUUUGGGGCGCUUUGUUAACAUUUAAUAGCUCAGAAAAUGCAGCUACAGGUGCUUUAUCCACAUUUAUGCUUUAUGGUAUUUUUCACGUGAUUAUCACUGUAAGGGCACCAGAUGAGCUUUUUUUGGUCCUUCAUCCAGUUUAAAACAUCUAAGAGUGCACUUAUGUGUUAUUGUUCAAACAUGGCCAUGGGGGGGCAAAGGGAGGUUUGCCCUUCUACUCCCUCUCUAAGCACGCCACUGCUGCCCCCCUCAGGCAGAAGGACCAGAUAGUCAACACAGAUGUGAAUGUAAAUGAGAUGCACGAUGAGUCAAAGUGGGAAUGCCGAGUAUUGGUGAGAGGCUGAAUAGCUUCGUAUAUCAUCCAACUAUAAAAGUCAUUUCUCUCUUAAUGUCCAAAUUAAGUCCAAGUGAGAAGCGAGCGAGUGAAAAAUGCCGCCAUUCCAGCAGACUUCAGGACCAGCUGAGUUUCUAUGAAAUUCCUUGAGCGUGUUUUAUGAAGCUCCUUUUUAUACCGAGGUGUUUUCACUUCCUUCAGCCGUCGUACUGCUUCAGCUGCAGCACUUCCAUUAAUUUGUAGCUUAGCCUUCAGCUAAACAAAACACUACCACUGCUGCAAUUUAAUAGGCAAGGCACAGCGCUGUAGAGAGAGCGAAUGAUGUUGAGUGUCACUGGUAUAAAAAUCAUUGUCUCAUAAUAGCUGACUCUCAGGAGAAAGCUGGUAUUCUUUACUGACUGCCUGCCUUCUUCAAAGCAAGGGCAAAGCUGUUUUGAGAAACACUAAACGAAGUGUUUUUUCACGCAGAGCAACCCUACAGCCAAGAACUUUUUCAGAUGCCACACUCGAGCUUUUCUCUCCAUUUCCUCUUGCAUACAUUUCUAUAAACCCACCGAGCGCGGCCUUGGCUUCUGAAGGUAAUUGUCUCACCCUCGCUGCUUCACUUACAGUGCAGAGCAAGCACAGGACUAAUCUUAUCAGUGCAUGCAGCUCUCUACAAGCCAGACACCUUCAAUGCCAGCUCUCACCUCCUGAUCAAUACAGAUCAGUCCUGGGGAAAUAUGGAGAGCUGUUAUCAGCUGAGAGUGAUAAUAAACGUCGACUAUCUCCAGAGUUACACAGGCUGACAGCUCAGGUGGGCUGUGGAGAACUUAGUCAAACUUAUUACUGUUCGUCUUUUAAUGAACUGAGCUGCCACCAAAGGGAAGACAUCGCUGUGUUGUCCCACAUUACUACAAUAAAAGCUCCAGACACAGCAGCUUCCAUACCUAAAAAACAGUCACGGAAACAACAUCCAUCUUCAUGUCAGAAAAAACCAACAGUUCCUUAUUAAAGACCUUCAGCCAGGAAGUCAGUCAGCCUUGUUUUACCUCCUCUGACUGUGAGGACCUUAGUCGUAAAAGUAAUGUUCAGCACAGUAACACAAAGAAAUAAUCCAAAUGUCAGACAGAGCAGCGCUGCUCCCGCUAACCCAACCUCGGUCCACUAACACAGUCUUAUACAUCAACACUGGGCCCACCCACCCACCCAGCUCCCAUGAUGCUUUACAACAACCAGCAAACAGUGGUGGUUCAUUUAUGUCGAUGAUGAUGUUUCAAUUUCUUCAAUUAAAGGGAUAUCCCGGCAUAAAAUUAAUUUAGGGUCAAACCCACCGUAACACAGUUAGACCCCCCCUCCAGAGAUGAAUGUUGCCGACCGCUUGCUUCUCUAGUUAUACCAACUUUAGCAACGACCCCAGGAUAGAAAUACAGAGAGCCACGCCCUCAACCAAAACGCCACUCUAUAGCCACAAAUAAUGCUCAGAACAGCACCUAACUUCAUCAACAGGACAUAUAGGGUCACAGACAUAGUACUAGACACCAAACAUCUUUUUAACUUUGACUCAUUUCUUUAGCAAAGAGACUAAACACAACUCACCUACUCUCUUCCAGCAGCUGCUUGUUUGUAGUGAGACCUCAGGCUAGUCCAUUAUGGACUACAGCGGGGUGACGCAGCUCAAGGAAGAACAUUUAUGAUCAAAAUACAAACCGUGCGUUUCUGUUCCAGCCUGAGCGAGUAACAAAGAUUCGUCUCUUUUUUUACUUCCUUUAGUUUUCUCCUGUUUGACUUCAGGUCAGGCUCAGACUAGUUCUGGUCCCGUUGAGGUGAAAGCAUGCAAAAGAAAACUGACCCAGAAUCACAUCAUGGGUUUGUUAGUCGGACUAUGAUUACAACUCAGUCAGACUGGAAUGUUUUCUCAUUUUUUAAAGUCCAGGUUCAGUCAAAAGGACGCCAUAUAUGGACUCCUAACAUCUCAUAAACGGACUGUGACAAAAACUUUUCUUUCCAACAUGAAGGAUAUUUUAAUUAGUGGGAGGUGAAGUUUAAAAUAUAAUCAGAGACAGUUAUCAUAACCUAACUUUAUGUCACCCUACUAGGGGCGGGUCCUUGGUGUUCUCGCCUGUCAGUCAAGUCAUUUGUGCCUCUGAUUCGAUUACAUUGAAUCAAACUUGGGCUCUCUGAGCUACGCCAACUUGAACAUUUUGCAUACAGCCUCCAGUGGACACUGAGAGAACUGCAGUUUUUAACACUUACCUGAUCAGUCUGACAUCUACCUGACGUCGGAGGUUAGAAACAUUCAAAACUGGACACUGACCAUCUGCUCUGCUUUUGUAGGUUAUGUGGAAACAGCAGCAGCAGCAUUAGUUCCAGCCUGUUUCAUAACCUCCUGAAAACUCCUCACAGGAGCUUUAAACCGUCAUCACGUGCAGAGAUGUGACCCACUUCAGAUCCUGCAGCAGAGCGUCUAAAUAAACACGAUUGUGGUUCAAAAGAACGAGCAGAGAGGUUUGAUGGAGAAUGAUCUUCACAAUCACACGUCAGAGUCCAGUGAUAUCAUUGACAUACAUCGACUUUUAAUUACCCGCAGAGUCUAAGUGAAGCUGACACCUUCAUAAUGAGCUCAUGUGUCCAGGGAGCUCAUUUGACACGGUGAUAAUGUGUCUGCAUAAUAUGAUCGGCUGUCUCAACAGUCACCUGUCAGUCAAUCUCACAGAUUAGCAUCAGAGUCCCCCUCAGGGACCGCUCUGAAGUCGACUUUAAAGCCAUCUAAAAACAUGUCCAUACUGCCGAUGGUAACGUCUGCUGUAUUCAUGAUUCAGACAAAAUCAGAGUUAUUGUUUUUAUGAAACAGGUUUGAGGUUAAAAACGUCUGACAAACCAUUAAGAGAUGAACGAGUGUUCACAUUCAGGAGACAAAAACCCUUAAAGGUGGUGUAGUCAGGAUCUGAUGAAGUUCCAGUUUUCAGGAGAAAUCUUGAAUGUAAACUCUACCCCACCCAACUCGCUCGUAUCGUUCCAAUUAAAUUCAGAUAUAAUGCAGAUAAAUACUUCAGAUCAUUACAAAUGGGGCCCAGUCAAGGUGAAAGUCAAAAGCAUUGGUGCUACUGUAGAUGCCAACAGACUACCAGCAAACACAAUGUUUGCAGGACUUCUACAACGAGGAUAAAGUGACAUAGUCCAGGACCCGAGGGAGGACAGUUUAGCGAUGGCGCUACAACACGCUACAGCAGGUCCGUUUGACAAGAAACACUUCUGUUACAGACACUUGUCUUACUUUGUUAAAGCGGUUUACCUGUCCAGCAGAAAGGUUACAGGGUCACCAAGAUCCCCAAGCGUCCCCCAUGGUUUAUGUUGACCCGGCUUUUUAGCUCUUGUCCGGUCUACCUCCGUUUUAAGCGCCCGUUAUUCCUCCAGAGUCUCCGGUAUUUACUUUGUUUUCUCGCUUGUGUCGGCAGUCGUGGCCAAAGGAGGAUUCAGACAAUUUUCCGAACUUUCUGGUUGGUUUCUACUGUCCGAUAUUGUAGCACGCUAACUUUGUUUGGGCUCCUGAACGACACGGGGGAGCAGCGUCUGCCUCACAACCAAUCAGGUUAGAGGAGGUGGAGAACGGCUUUGUUUACAGUCAGAAAGAGCGGACCGCUCAAAAAUGUUCAAAUGUUGACGACACAGACAUAAGAGAACACAGAGAUAUCGAUAUAUUACCAAAUGUCAUCAAUAACUAAUAACUAUUGACUGAUAUUAGAAGAUUUUUUGUAAAUACACUACAAAAAUAUGCUUCUUAAUGCUUCUUUAACGGAUUCCUGUCUACUCCACCUUUGCGAGGACUCAGGGUUUAAAUAUUCACUGAACAAAUGGAUCACGCUGUGUCGACACUUCCCGAUAUAAGAGAAAACAGAGGAAGCAAAGGAUCAUGGGAAGUGUGAAAACAAAGUAAACACACCAAAACAAAAAUCAACCAUUUCCCCUCUUCUUCUCCUGCAUGAAGAGAGCGUGAUCUAUCAGAGCGCUCAGAGGAAAUCCUGAGUGAUGGGUUACGUAGACCCCCAUCAGUGGAUCCACACGUGUACCCAGGAGCUGCCAGCACUUGUGUGAUAUUAAUGUCAUCUGCCUUUUGUAGUCGGACUUGGAGGUUCAGAUCACGCUUCAGCUUUGCCUCGGUCGUGACUGCAGGGUCUUACGUCUCCGAAAAGACAGAAGAAGAACAAGAAGAAGAAGAAGAGGAGGAGAGGCUUGUUGGGCUUUAGUUCCAGCAGGCACAUGUCAGAUGCACCUCACUUCCUGCUAUAAACCGGGAUGAGUCUGCUGCUCGCCAGAGAGAGAAAAAAAGGUCAUUUGGCAGCGCUCUCGGCAUUUCACAGCAAUAUUUCUUGCGUAUGAAGUGGUAAAUGGGGGCCUUAACUCACAGAUGGCACGUACUCUGGUGAGAGUCAUAAACCGCCUGCUUCCCGUGAGGGAUUUGUUUGUGUCAAGCACCUGAUACACAUCCAGGGUGUCUUUGAUAAAUCCUGACGGUGGCCGGCAAAUUCAAAGUGCUCAUGCAUGACGGCGAGGUCGACGUGUGAGCAAACACGCCAAACAAACAGCACAAGGUCGUUUGUCUCAGAUACCGACCAUAAAGAAUACUCUGAGUACUGCUGUUGACAGGACGCUGCUUUGGUUAUUACUGCAUCUCUGUGUUCGUACUCAAAGUCUGGAGCAGACAGGAAACUGUGUGUCCGUCAGAUUUUAGUCCGACGCCUUCAGCAUGGUCGGCCUCAAGUAUACAAGAAUAUCAAAUAUCAGAGAUCUCUGGAAUCAGCUGGUUUCAGUAACUUCUCUGUUGGUGCCGCAGUGCAAGUGCAGAAAACUGCAGUUCCUUUCGUGUCCACUCGGGGCAGCAAAGGAAUACCCAUUAGAGCUUAUAUUAAAAUGUUCCUUUUUUUUUUUUUUCACAACUGAAUAAAUUGUAGUUCAUUAUUUGAUCUCUCUACAUCCUUUUUUAUAUUUGUUACCUGUAACUAGGGCUGGUCAAAAAAACGAUAAUGUUAUAUAUCCAAAAUUAAUUUCCCUCAAUAUCUGUAUGAAACAUGGUCAAUAUGCUUUUCAAUAGUCGUCAUUCUGACAUGUUUUGGUCGACUAUACGAACAGCCAAUGAAAAGGGGAGUGUCUCCGGGUCUGAACCAAUCAUGUUCUGAAUUAGAACCAAGUAUCAACCAACUGCAGCGUCGUAGCAGACAGCAGCUCCACCCAACCAUAGCACUUUAACAGGUGAAGCCGACAGCACUGUUGGUGAGAAACAAAGAAAAUGAGUGCUACCCCCGACAGAAAUGACCAUGAAGGCUCAACAGAUGACCACAUCAAUGUCAACCACAACACUGGCGUUAGGCAAACGUCGGUGGUGUGGAGGUAUUUUGGUUUUUGGAGGUCGGACAUGAAGCAGAGUAAUGUGGACUGUAAAUUAUGUCGAGUACAUGUUCUCACAAAGUCGGGGAAUACCUCAAAUCUUUUUCACCACCUGAAGCAGCGCCACACCGCAGAUUUUUAUAUUCUGAACUCCAGGUUUUCGAAUGAUUUGGUCCGAACACUCUUUUAAUACACAUGCAAUGAGUUGAACUUUGACCUUUUUCCAUUUAUUUGUUUCGCGCUCUUUGAGUGAAACCAACAGAACAGGCCCGUUUCAGGAGCAGACGUGUAAUCAGAACACGGGACAGAAGUGUUAGAAUCAGGUCUGAGUGAGAGUGAAACACCUGCAGAGACAGAUGGAUGUCAUCGUUCUCUCUGUCAACAGGUUUCAAAACAACGAGCUUUAAACAGAAGUCAGAAUAAUCAAACACACACACACACAGCUGAUGAUCAAAACAGUCAGAUGAAUAUUUCUACUACAUCUGUGAGUACCUUCAUGUUUCUCAGAUUAUAUCCUGGUGUUGUUUCAGGGUCGUGAGUUUUUACUCUGAUUAUUUCAUCCUAACACAGCCCACCAGGACCGCCCUCAUGAUGUCCUCCCAUCAUUUAAAGUCUGGAGACACUCCACAUUUUCCAUUGAAGCCGUAUUGACAGGAGGGGCGGGCGUGUCAUCAGCACAGAUGGCGGCUGAUUUCUACAAAAAGGAAAUUAAUGUUCCAGUAAUUUCCUUUUUUUGUUGAUUUGUUUUCGAUGGGAGUCAAAUUUCUGCCCAAAGGGAGUCAUGAGGACAUGUUCAGCUGCAGCCUGUGGGUCUGUCCUGUUGCUUAGAGAGCCAUUCAUCAACAGGAAGACACAGAAUCUAACCCUUCCUGCCUCUUCAUCGUUGGCUGACCCUGACCUUUGACCUCCCUGUGGAGGGUAACCUCAAUUGAAAGCAUCAAUAACAGAUCAAAUUACUGACUUUACGAGAGGUCGUAUAUUUGUCUCUCCAUCUCUGUCUCAUCUUUUCCAGCCAAACCUCAAGUCUCAGACUGACCCGCUCCAGACCAGCGGUCAGGAAACAAAUACUCCAUCUGUGACAACCGUGGACUAGACCAAGAUCUUCAGCCGUCAGAAGAGACUUACUACACUGAUCUGGACUUGAAUAUGUAGGGCUGGUCAAAAAAACGAAAAUGAUAUGUAUAUCCAAAAUUAAUUUCCCUCAAUAUCAAGAUAAAUCAUGGUCAAUAUGCUUUUCAAUAGUGGGCAUUCUGCCAUGUUUUGGUAGACUAUAUGAAAAGCCAAUGAAAAGGGGAGUUGUUCUGGGUCCGCUUCACUGUGAACCAAUCAUGUUCUGAAUUAGAACCAAGUAUCAAACAACUGCAUCACAGCAGACAGCAGCUACACCCAACCAUAGCACUUUAACAGGUGAAGCAGACAGCAGAAAUGACGAUGAAGGCUCAACAGACGACGACAUGGUCCACAACACUGGCGGGACGAAAACGUCGGUGAUGUGGAGGUAUUUUGGUUUUUUGAGGUCGUACAUGUAAAUUAUGUUGAGUACAUGUUAUUGCAAAGUCGAGGAAUACCUCAAAUCUUUUGGAACGCAAAAGGUUACAAACCCCGAGAGGAGCGAGGAGCCCAUGGCACCUGUGCAGCCGAAACAGACGACCAUUCAGUCCGCUUUCUCUUACGACAAAACGUCAGACACAAAGACCUCACAGAUGCAGGAGACUAUUGUAUUGGAAAAGACAUCCUACCAAUAAACACUUUUAGAUUUCAUUUUUUAUAUCGUGAUAUAUAUCGAUAUCGACUGAUAUGAAAGAAUAACGUCUCCUUUAAAAAAGAGGCUUCAAGGAUCACCAGAGAGUUUCUAGAGCCGUACUGUGAGGUGAACAAAAACCACAAAUGCAGACAGAAGCAAUCAUCUGAGAUCCUGAGGAGAGCAGAGAGCUGGUUUGGAGGGGAGCUCCUGCUCCGACCACAGAGAUGUGAAAUGAGAAGAAGAAUCUCACUUAAUGGCCGGAGCCGGAUGAUUGAAUUUCAGGAGACUCGGAGGCUCUGGCUAUCAAUUUAGGCUGAAAUGAUCAAUACAAAAAUGGCCGCUCCGCUGAGAGAGAGAGGCUUUCCUGCACCAAAAACAAAAACACGACUAUUUAUCACAACAGUUCCAGUUUGGAAAAACUUCACUAACAAGCUGCGUUUUAUUUUGAAAGGACACAGUCUUAACUUCCCUCAAAGACAGAGGUCAAAAUAUGACAGCAUAGAUUGAAGCGUGGUUAUGAUCUCAUAUUUAUGAUGUACAGAGGACUGAGUUUGAGAGUUUUAUCUUUUUAUUCACUCAGGAUUUCGCUGAGGGCCACACAUUAUCAAAAUCCCCUGACCUUGGUGAGAGAAAUGUUCAAUUUUCUUGGAUUAGAUAGAAAAUGUUCUCACGCAGUUUUGCGCUGAGCACGAGCCAAUUAAGUGUUUCCUUCUUUAAUCGGAGAGACCUGAAGUACAAUGGAGCGAUUUAGAUGUAAUAUCUUGACCUUUGAAAGACGUUUUCAAAAGGUCAGAUUUUAUGGGGGGGAAAUAUUCUCAUUAAUAAAAGAAGCUUUUUAGUCGAGCGAGCGGGAUCGACCUAAAAAUGUCAGACCUUUUUAAAUUAAAGGGCGAAUCAGCGCUGCUAUUAUUUUCUUUGUGUAUUUAAACAGAAAGGAAAUGUGCAACCGUGAGUAAACACAGCCACUUUCUUAUGUAACCCUGUAACUGUGGUUUUAUUUGAAAUGAUCAAACCGAGAGGUAAAAAAUAAACAUGCUGGAGUCUGUAUUUACAUAUGAACAGCUGACUAAACCUGUGCUCCAUUUAGAGACAAAUGCAGAAAUAUAACCAUUUUUUUAAAGAGCAGCUUCUCCUGCAGUUUCUCUCUGAGUUUGGUUGACUUUAAUGAAACCAAAACUCGGUUUAUAACCCUCCUUUAGACCUUUAUUCAGCAGACUGCUUCAUAAAUUCACUUCAUACUUGUAUAUUUUUACACAUUCUGAGUAUUUCUUUAAUACGCUCACGGUGCAGCAGGUUUAAAACGGGCUUACAGGUGCAGAGCUGCUGAUUUCAGAGCGAUCCAUUAAAACACUGACAGCUGGAAAUGAUCCCUGUUUUCUUAAUGAAAGUUAAAACACUGAUUGUUUUUUGAUGAUGCUCGUCCUCCCAUUUAUCAAAAUCAGACCAGAAUGCACGUGUAAUUCACAUUAUCUCGGUGAAUUCAUUAAUAACGUCGUCACUGCUGGAAAAUAACAGCAUCUCUGCUGAUCGACCGCGUUCGGAGGAAAACUCCAACAGUGAUUGUUUGUAAGAACUUUUUAUUGGCUGAUGAAUUUUUAUUUUUUUCACUAACUUUAUAAAAACACUUUUUUUUCUUGAUGUUUUCUUUAGUUUGUUAGUUUAGUUUGGGCCAAGCUGAACUUUGACAAUGAUGAGUGAAUUAGCUCCUAUUUACAUGUAAGAUUUAUGUUUAAAACAUCACUGUAGAAACAGCAAGACUGAAUAAACCAUCUGUUAUUACUGGAUGUCAGUCACAUGACCCUUUUAUACCCCUUUAAAAUGUAAUACCCAUCUGUCUGGGUGAGAAAAAUAAUGCUAUCUGAAGAAGUAUCUGGGUUUAGAGUUUACUUAUUUCUCUGAAGUCCUCAGAAAAUAUGAAAAUUUGUAUUUUCCUGCUUUUUAUAUCCACCUAGUCCCAAAAUAUGAAAGUUUCUCGUUACGUCACUCCAGGGCGGGAAAAUGAUCCUUAAGUGGCGUGUGAAAGUUUGAUCUUGAUUAGAAGGACCGUACGUUUCUGAGCAUUCAGGAGGUUAAACUUACAUUGUUUUAAUGUUCGCUAGCUGGUUAUUUAAGUUACAUCCACAAAUGUAAGAAAAUUAAGGUGCAGUUAUUAUUAAUGAGUGCUGAACUUAUAAUAAUACCAAUAAUAAUAACAAUAAUUAUUAUAUAACAGGGCUUGACACUAAUUUUUUUCACAUGUUCUCUUAAGUUAAAAAAGUAAGGAGCACAAAGAACUUUAGGGGACCAAUGAAAAUUAAUCAAUAAUGUUUGUCUUAUUGUCCGACCUUAGUACUAUUAUUAGAAAUCAAUUUUAGGUCUUUUGGUCACAUGACAGUGAAGCUAUUGAAGGAAAACAGCCUUUUCUGAGAACAUCAACCGGUAAUUUAUUGACGGUCCCUUAUUCAACACCGACGUUGACAGUGAGGGUGUCGAGUAGAUUUAACCGCGCUGCUGUUGUUAUUCCCGGUUAUGGAGAGUGAGAAGACACCGGUAGAUCCUCAGAGAAUGUCCGUCAGAUAUCCAACCUGAAACUAACUUCACCGCCGUAUUUACAGGAAAAUAUAUCCAACCUGAAACUAACUUCACCGCCGUAUUUACAAGAAAAUAUAUCCAACCUAAAACUAACUUCACCGCCGUAUUUACAGGAAAAUAUAUCCAACCUGAAACUAACUUCACCGCCGUAUUUACAGGAAAAUAUAUCCAACCUAAAACUAACUUCACCGC